rnacentral:lncRNA from 1 species
UGCAGAAGGGCGCGCGCGUAUGGAAUAACAAGUAGGGACACUGCAACUAAUCUACUCUGCUCGUCCAGUCCCUAGCCUAUAAAUAGAUGCCAUGCUAGCUCUUGUUGUGCUCACAAUUAAUCCGAUUACACACGAGCUUCUCUCCCUGGCCAAGACACAACCAUAGUAUGAUGAAGAACAUGGCACUAGCCGGCAAUGGUAUGAAGAAGUUAAUCCUCGCUGUUCUCUUACUGUGUCUAGUUAUAGGGCAGAUACAAGUGGAAGCUAAGAGCUGCUGCCCAUCCACCACUGCAAGAAAUGUCUACAAUACCUGCCGUUUCACGGGUACAUCCCGUCCAACGUGUGCAAAACUGUCAGGCUGCAAAAUUAUCAGCGGGAACAAAUGCAAGCCCCCUAACGACCACCUCACCCUUGACCCGGACACUGGUAAAUAAUAAAUUUAUCUCACUUGAUUUCUUCGUGAUUUGAGUCGUUAAUGUAUUUUCCAUCUGAUGAAACGUAUUGGUUUUGCAUUGAAGAGGAAGUUAAUGUGCUUAACUUCUGCAAGUUGGGGUGUGCGUCGUCUGUGUGCAACAACAUCAACGCUGGUAAGCAACUUUUGCUCAGACAGAGAAAACAAUAAUCAUUAAUUAGCGGCAGCUAGAAUCCUAUAAUCUAAUAUAUAUAUAUAUAUAUAAUUUUAUCAGCUCUGGGAAAUGAAGAGGCGAACGAUGCCGUUGAGAGUUGCGACCAAGCCUGCUCUAGCUUCUGCAGCGUGCAUGUUGGCAGCGCCACCGUGGUUGCUUAAGCAAAUGCAUCCAACUAGAUCGUCCUUGUGCUGAAUAAUUGGAUAUCGUAUCCACUUAAAGCUGCCUUGUGUAGUACGUCUUUGUGUCUCUCUUUAUAUUCCAAUAAGGUCGGUGAUCUUGAUGCCACACACUCAGAUGUGUGUUCAUCUCCAGAUACUACUCCAUGCUACCUGCCCUUUGUGUUUUGUUCAAUAACUGGGUAUCAUAUCCCAGCCAGUAUGCCGUCUGUUUUGUGUUUGUUUCCUUCUAGUUCCAAAGGGGUCAUCAUGAUGUUACCUUCUUUCAAUAUGGUGCUUUGCAUGACUACUGUUGUAUGGUACCAUCUUGUGGCCAAUAAGUACAUCUUAUCCUAUGACCUUUGCUAUGACCCUUUGCAAAUAAGUAGAAGAUUGUUAUAAGCGUCAAUACUCCGUAUAAAUUGAUCGCUGCUGUGAGUUCCCUUUCAGCUUAUCGUAGGCAUACAUUAUUGCUAGCACGGUAAAGCCAACCAACACGAAUGAUGAAGUAAACGUAGCGGUACUUCUGUAUACCAACACCCUUACUUAAAUGUACCGGUGUCAUUCCCUACUGGCACAUAUAUUCUUAUAUGCUAGCCAGCUUGUAAAAUUAACCAAUUAAAAUAAUUAUUUCAAGAUAGAAAUAACUUAUCGGUUUCUGGAAGCAUGUGUAAUGUGAAUUCAAGGACUCGACGGAAGUUGAAUCACUUCAUCUAUAUUGCUUUCAGUAUUUUGGGUAACUAAAUUUAACAUUUGCACAUACAAAUGUUAAAGUACAAAUGUUAAAUCUAGUUACCCAAGCAGAAUAUGAAGAUAGUUUAUAGUAUAUAUAUACUAUAUAAAUCUAGUUAACAUUUAGUCUAAAUGUUAAAUCUAGUUACCUAAAAUCCUGAAAGCAAAAUGUAUAAAUAUAUAUCUUUUAAGGCAGUAUAAGCUUCGAUUCCUAUUGCUGCUCUGUUAAAUCUCAUCUUUCGUUGUGGCCCAACACUCUAGUAUGCAUGUUGCACCAAGCUUCUUUGAGCCGCUCUGCCCUCUGAUUUUGCUGCGUAGGGGAAUCUUUAUCAGGUUGGGCUACUUCCAGUUGUGCGAUGUAAAGAUUCGUAUUUUCUAGAAGGUAGACAAAAAACUCGCGUUCUCUUAAGGCAACAACCGGAAGAUUCUGCAGCGCACAGGGCAUACCAUUAUUGUAGAAACGACCUUUAGUACCGAUCUCCAACCCCCUUUAAAACUGGUUUUGCAACCGGUACCGUUAUGUCGGUCCUUUAGUACCAGAUCAAAUAAGUACCGGUUGGUAACCAGUAUCAACUUGUUUUGCGGCCAAAAAAAUAAAGAAAAAAACAGUCAGAAGGCUCGCGCACACGCGCAUCACAUGAAAUAUGCGUGUGCGGGGUCCAUGGGAUUCGAACCCAUGAAAUCAAGCUGCGCGCGACCCUUCGUUACCAUCUCACCUACAUAGCGCAUAUGCUUUCCUGAAGUAACCCGUGGAGGAGGCUUUAGUACCGGGUCAUAACACCACCCGGUACUAAAAAUGACUCUUCAGUACCGGGUCAUAACACCACCCGAUACUAGUAUCGGAUGGUGUAAUGACCCGAUACUAAAAGGCCUCUAGGGACCCUCAAAUUUGAACCCGGUACUAAUGCUAAUAUUAGUAGCGGGUCAAAGUGCAGCCAGAACUAAAGCAUGGGAUGAAAGGUCAUAUUUCUAGUAGUGUAUAGUUGUUGUGAAGGACUGACUUGGCUGUCCUCUCUCUUCUCCAUCCCCUUGGUCUUACGCCGCCGCUCGCACGCGAGCCGGUGCCCAACCAGAGGAGUGAGAGCUAGGGGCAGGUUGGGAGGUGGGGAUAGUGACUGGUGGCCAGGGUGAUGGUUGAUCCUGGUGGGGUUAGGGUUUUAGGGUUUUCGAGCUUCCUAUGGUCGGCGAACCUAGAGGAGGAGCUCAACAUCAGCUGCAACCCGCGAUGGUGGUGGUUUGGCCGGCGCCCGAGGCGAGGCAGCGCGGGAGUGCUGCCGGUGGGUUGGUGUUGGCACUCAUUAUUGACAACUAUUUUGUUCAUAAAAUAACACUCAAACUUGCUGCUGCUGCUGCUGCUGCCAUCGCCACCCUAGCCAUAAUAUAAAGGCAAAAUUUGCUAAAGGACAUGCAAAAUGAUGCUAGUUUGCUGGCGGGCAUCGUUGACCUUGUAAUAUGCUACAAGACACUCUAGUUGUGUAUCAAUUUGCUGAAAGACAUUGCUAUGACUAAAAUAAUGUUUCUGGACUGAGUUGGAGAGAGAGAUGGAGUGAAAUGUCUGUUUUGCCCAUGACCCCACUGGUCAGAUCCUUCUUCUUCCACCCUCCUUUGUUCUUUCUUCAACCAUUACCCAGCUCCAGCGUGUUGCAGAUCUACGAGGGUGGCGGCCUGGGGCGAGGGGCAUCGCUCGCCCUUGGAGGAGCGCUGCGAGCGACGGCGCGGGGGCGGCAACAGCGCGUCAGAACCUGACUGUUCGUUAGCUCCUCUCGCUGCUGGGGAAGGAGGGGGAUGGGCCAUGGACGGGGUUCCCUUGAAAACCUCAGCGUCGAGCUCGGGCGGCUACGCGCAGGCAGCACUAGGCUGCUUCACGGGGAGGGGGCGCGGCCAAUCAUUGGCACCCCACUGGUCCAAUGCUGAUGAAGAUGGUGCCAGCGUCGUGUGAGGACAUCUCAUCUCCUCGAGUUCCAUGGCCAGCACAGGUGAGCUGCCGCUACCACAAAACAGAGGUUUCGUGAGAGUCAAAAAACCUUAUGAAAAUAGCUAAAACCAUCAUGAAAAUAAUCCGUGACAUGACACUCUCACGAAAAUCCUCUCACAAAUAUGGUGCCAUGAAAAUACCAUUUUCAUGAGAGUGAACUGUCAUGAUUUUAUUUCGUGAGAGUAUUUCCUAUCAAUGACCUCCACGAAAUACUUUGUGCCACCAGGUCUUCAAGAUCAUUUUCAUGAGAGCUGAACAUCAGGAAAAGUCCGCCACAAAUGUUUUUCUUGGAGCCCCUAACUCUCAUGAAAAUCAUGCGGGCCGCCACGAAAAACAGCAUGACCAAAUGACAAAUUUCAUUUUCAUGUGUUCAUACCGCCAUGAAAAUGGUCAUUUUCAUGAGAGUUGAUGAAACAAAAAAUAGUGCCAUUUUCAUGAGAGUUCAAGCAACCAGGAAAAGACACUAAUAAACAUCCAGAUCCCAUCCAGCACACAUCCAUGCACAUAUAUAACCCACAUAUUGCUCCAGCACACAUCCAUGCAUAUACAAGAUCCAAAUGUUAAUAUAGUAGACAUCCAUGCCUGAACUAGUCUGCCACACAAGUCAUUGAUGCUACAAAUCCUACAAUCGCAGCAUGUGCAUACAAGUCACAGAAUGAGACAAUGUACCCAAAACUAAAAGGUUAGCAUCAACUGUGCUUCAACCAAAGUUGUCAUCCCAACUCUCCUCUUCAUCCAUGCCAUUCUUGUCGUGGCCGUCACUGUCAGUCCCCAUGGCAUUGCCAAUGCUGUGCAUGUCUUGGUAGGAACCUACAUGUGAUGAACUAGUAACCUGCAAAAAGAGCUCAAAGGAUCUUGUUCUCAUAUUGUAGCUGUGAAAUUCUUACAAGUAGUGUUGCAAUCAGUUCACUUUGAACCAAAAGAGCUCAAAGGAUCUUGUCCUAAAAGUUCCUCAUAAAGCUUAUGGGUUUGCUGGUGGAACUGGAAGGGCUUGAUGCAGCAGAUGCCAUUCUGCAAUAGAGAAAAAUUUAGAGAGCAGUACUAGUUAAAAUUGGAUGCAGAAGAUACACAUGAAACUAGUAUUUAUACAAGUCUAUACAAUUAAAAUCUAAGGAGACUUAUCAUCGUUUUCAUGUGUUGUGAAUUAAAAUAAUGAAGGAUACACUGUUAGGUGAAAAUUCAAGAAACAAAAUUUUGCAUAGAGAUAAAGGUCCAACAUUAUUACAAGUUAAGGUAGUUUUAAAUAUCCUUGUAAUCUUCCUUUGGUUUCCUCAACGAUUCGAAGACAAUAACCUUGCUUCUAUCAAUGAUAAUUAUAAGGAGAAUCCAGUGGAAACUGUGUAUUCGUAUUAGAACUACCUAAGGUUAAUUAGGUUAGGAAAGGAAAUUGAAAAUAGAUGGUACCCACACUUACUUAAAGUUGUCGGGCAAUAGUAUGUAAUGCUUGUAAUUCCGUUGCUCCAAGAAUUUGUAUAUGUGGUCCAAUGUAGACUUUGGUUGAUCCCGUAUCUGCUGUUGGUUAAAUAAGUGUUUCUAGCCAUUUCUAGCCAUUAGAACCGGGACUAAAGGGGGCUCUUUAGUACGGGUUGAUAUUACUAACCGGGAUUAAAGAGCCCCCAUUAGAGUUGGUUUUUGGAUGCGGAACUAACAACUCCUUUAGUCCUGAGUACGAAAACAACUGACAUAUUUGUUGCUGGAUGGAAGGUCCUUUCUCUACCGUGAAUAUUGCCAGAAAGAAUUGAAAGAGACUGCUUGCUAAAAAUAUGUCAUAGAUGUAGACCAAGCUACCAAGGAGGUAGACCAAACAUGAUACACACCAUGCGUACCUUGCUGUGCAGACUAUGCAUUGACAAGAUACCCGACCACAUGUUGGCCUCGGUCACAUCAAAAGAAUCAUGUAGGCCACCAAUAAACUACUUGAAGCGGCAUUCCGUAUCGUAUAUGCAUUGCCGGUUCAUCUGCAUUACAUUACAUAAAGCACUAUUAACUAUUUGAAUAAAAUGAACCAAUUUAAAAGUAAUGUGUUGUACUCUACUAUAGAAAGCCCUAUCACUGCCGGAUCCAAAAACAUCAUUGUUAAUGGUGGUUAAGUACCAAAUAUGACGGUCAAUAUUCUCAAGAAUAAUGGAGAAUUAGCAUUUCUUAGACACAUAUUUGGUUUUGAACAAUGUAGUUCCACAUGUCUUUGGAGAUUAUUUGGGUGUGGGUGAAAUAAUACAAAAAUAAGGAGAAAACACACUCCCAUGGCGAAGAAACACAACUCCAACCAAUGAGAGAUAGCCACAGGGGCAGCACACGGAUCCAUGGGCCCACUAACCGCAUCAAACCAUCUUACCAAGGCAGGUAGCACCCACAACCGUCAUUAGGACCCACCUGGAAGUCUACCAAGAAGAAGGUUGCGAGUGGGGCCAGGAGGGGUUCGGUUGAAUCAUCUCUAGCUAGCUCCCCUCAUCCCCAGCUGGUGGGUGGUGGUGGUUGAUGGUGUCCCUACAUCAGUUAGAGGAGAUUCCCCCAAAUAUUCCUCCUGUAAACCACCUCUAUGGACCUAUACAUAGAGGGGUGUGCUCUCCAUUCCAACACACACCACAAGUUGAAUCACUCUCUCCCUCUUUAGUUUCCAAGUUUAUGGAGUUAGGCUAGAGUAGCUCUGCUCAAGGUUCCAAGUCCACUUGGAGUUAAGCAUAUGUCUCUUGUAUCGUUAUUUCCUAAAUUGACUUUAUGCUUAGUUCUUAUAUGCAUGAGUUAGUCUAAUACCCUUGCUAUAUUGAUAUGCUCGGCUUAUAUGCUCGUAUGCUAGUCAUAUACCCUUGCUGUCGUAGUAUAGGCUUAUAUGCUCUCAUGUGUGCCUGUAGACCUUGCUAUAGUAUAUACUUGUUGUGCAUACAUACCAUGUAUAGGCUAGUCGAUCUAUACCAUGGCAUUGGUUCAAUAGCCAUGUUUUUGGUGGCUCCAACCCUAGUCACAAUAGCUCGGGACAGCUGGAGUGUUGUUAAAAAUGCAAGAGUGGUGCUUGGGUUGUUUAGCAUCGUUGGAUAUGGGUUUGCCCCACGGGUUUCUAACGGUAGGCGGCAGCUAGUGACAUCCCUGUCCGUCCUUCGUAAUCCCCCCACAUUCAGGUACGCCAUAAAUGUUCGUAAAUUAGCAGUAACUACGCCGGUACACCUGUAGGGUAUUGUCUCCCUGUAGUACCUUGGUGCAUAGAACUAAGUCCUAUACACUGUGUGUGUAUGUUUACGCUGAUAUGAUCUGUGCAGUAUAUAGGAUGUAUAUAUGAACCUAGAGCUAACUCCUAGUCCGUUCUCCAUAGCUUAGUUAUCUUGAGAUGAUUCUUCUGUAUGUGUAACACUACCCAUCUUAUCAUUAUCCUUGAUCCUGUCUUGUGUAAUAUAUCUACUCAUCCUAUGAUAUACUCAUAUGCAUAGUAAACUAUUUUGACCUACCCGCCUUCCUUUGGGAAAUAUGAUACCUUGGAAUAAUCCUAGGUGAAAUCCUACAACGGUAUAUCCAUGUAAAUGCGGAUUUAUUCAUGACCAUUAAAUAUACCAACAAUCAUCACUGUGAGUUUUGGGCGUCGUUAGUGAAGGGUUGGUAGUGAUGGGCAUCCCCUUCACCAAUGGACCUGGAACCGGCGGUGAUGGCUAUUAUAAAAAAGGGGACACCACCCAGCGUACCCCACGACCCGGCCGGCCGCACCUCCCAUCAUCCCCGCCAGCCGCCCUUCCUUUUCGCCGGCCGAGCAUGGUCCCGGCCUUUGUCCCUACCACCUCGCCUCCACCGCGACCCCCCGCCGAUGCCCUCGUGCCUGGCCCCCCUCAUCUUGCCGGCCACCCUCCCGAUGCGUCCACUGGGGCCCUCGCACCACCAACCGCCCUUGCUUAGAGAGGGAGAGAGAGGAGGGAGGUGAGGCCACGCACCUCGUCCUACACCGCCGCUGUUUCUCCUCGGCCCACCGCGCCUCACCCCACACCACAGCCGCGCCUUGCCAUCUUACCGGCUGUGACGCCUCAUCUCACCGGCCACCGUUCCUCACCCCCACUUCGGUCGUCGCCGCUCCUUGCCCUACCGCUGCUCUUUGCCGCUGCGAAUGAGCGCCGAGUGGAGGAGGAGGGAUGGGGCAGGAGGAGGGCAAGAUCCGGGAGGAAGGGAGAGAUCUCGGGAGGUGGAGAUGGAAGGAUAUGGCGGAAGGGAGAGAUCCAGAGGGAGAGAGCAGGGGAGAGAGGGGGGCGUGUGGGGAGAGAGCGCGUGUGGGGUGGGGCCGGGCUGGUGGGAUGGAAGGGAGAGGGGCUAGACGGGCGCAGUGCAUUCAACUGGAUGAAGUAAAUAUUUUGGAUUCGAGACCCCAGCUUUAUUAUCACCGCUGGUCCGUAGUACCAUCCGGUGCCUGCUCGUAAUUUAAUUUGAAUCUGCGGUGAUGUUUUAUUAUCACCAUCGGAUCAUAUAAAAAUCCGGCGGUUAAAAAUCCGCUGGUUUCGAUGAAAACCGACGGUGAUAGGAUGACUGUGAUAGUCUCUUCUCUAGUAGUGGUAUAUUAGUACCGGCUGCCGGAUGGUGUUGCCGACCAGUACUUCUCCGGGGGCGAUUCAGUACUGCUGUUAGCAAAGCUUGUUCUCUAUGAAUUUGGGGAUGGAAAGCUAGUUCUCUAGUUGUGAUUUGUUACAUAUAUAUCUAUGAUAGUCUAGAAAUUGCAUGUCCUUCGUUGACAUAGUUGAAGCUGCUUCAAGAAUUUACUUCGUGCAGUCGUGCAGCAUAUUGGAUUAUCACCUAGACAGGAUACAUAGGUGAAGCAUUGGAUGUGAUUGUGGCCGAUAAUUAUGCAGGACGCUGUUGCAAUCAACCACCAAGAAGUCUGGAGUGAUGGGGUUGCCUCAUCAAUAAUUUUUAUAUAUGGCUGCAGUAUUAUUAAGCCCACGUCAAUAAUUUUUUGUCCGCACCAUAUAUCGAUGGGGUUGCCUCAUCAAUAAUUCGCGCAACCAGACAAGCUGCAGACUCAAUAUGGUACGAAGCUAGUUGCUCAGCCCACAUGCUCUGAUAUAACAUUGACAUCUGCUGAUCUACAGUAUAUAUGACCAGAAAUAUUGUGCCCACCUCAAUAACUUUCUGAAGUAUCGUGGGGAAGAACCUACGCGUACUAUGCCUCGGAACUAACUGACAUAUCGGCCCAGGCGGUCUAGGCCGAUUGGACUGGCUCUUCCUUGUGGCUUCUCACAUCCCCUUCGUCCCCAAGUAAUUUCAGGUGUUCUGUAGUUUUCUUUUCACUUGCAUCUGAGCCUCCUAUAUCAAUAGCUUCGGGAUAAGAAUGCCUCUUGAUAACCUUCCAAAUCCUCGCUUGAUUCACAUUGAUUCCGAAAUCAUCUUGCCAUAUCUUCAGAGACUUAGGUCCUAAGGCAUCAUGGAGGAUUGCUCGCCAAGAAUGAGCACCAUUGGGCUCCUGAGGACCCUAGGCCGAUCAGCCCGGGCUCUAUAGGUCGAUUGGCCCAGGCCCUCUCUGGGCCUGUUGGCCUUCAUCUUUCUUUGAGUCGACGCUUAUUCAGGGCUUUGUCCAAUUAUAGUCCAUUAUAGUCUAAUUUCCUAAAAAACAGAAUGUCCUCCAAAAUACAAUGCAUAUGUGAAAACAACCCAAUUAUUAGGUAUGAUCAAUAGUUUAGGUAUUAAAUUAAUAUUAUUAUUUAAGAUAAACAGGGGUAAAGGGUGUCAUUAAUAACAAGCGCCAACAAGCGUCCUAGCUGUUCAAUAAAUUUUUUCUAGUACCGAUUGGUAACACUAACCGGUGCUAAUAUGUACCCUUUAUUACCGGUUAUUUUACCAGGUACUAAAGGAGACAAGAGCAUCCUAACAUAAGGUUAAUAUCAUCCAUUUCAUGAGUAAAAUACUAUGAUUCAAAAAUAAUUCAAAUCCCUUAAGACAAUACCUAUCAAAUGAGUAAAUUGUAAAUAGAGUAAUCUUGAUCAAACAAUGUCCUAAUGAAACGGAACACUUCUGGUUCGUGUAGAGCACAAUAUAGAAAACAGUAGGGUAGCUGUAUGAUUGACACGUGGUCCAUUAAUUAUUGAGCCAACACUAUGGACAUGUCUUCAUGAGUAGUGUACUAGUCAUAAUACAUGGUAUGCAGUAGGUGGAGGUAUUGACUUAGCCAUGCUAUGAGCACUUAGUUACAACAAACACUUUGCCAUUAUCGAGCAUCCCAAAUCACUACAAAAUCCAUAGUUUACCAUAUACUACAAAAUCUGAGUUAAAAUAAGAGCAUACACGGAAGAGUCCGAAUGCACGGCACAUUGAAUUACUAGACAAAAUUUAUGGGACAAGGUUUUGGGUAACCGCAUGAAAAAUAUUGGAUUUUACUGAACACUUAGUUACAAUUACCAUGCCCGUGAGCACUUAGUCACCACAAACAUUUAACCACUUUAGAUCAUCCUGAAUCCCUAUAAAUUCUAUACCUUACACCGUACCAUGAAAACGACAAGAACAGAGACAGAUGCGGUGAAAAUCUCCAGAGCAAGCCUGAAAUUAAAAUAAGAGGAGGCAGUCACUAUCGACAGGACACGGAGAUUGCUAGCCAUGACAGAGGAAGACAUGAUAUGAUAUUCACCUCUGAAAUGCAGCGUAGACUAAAUGAAGCACAAUUGCAAGUGAGUGUGGCAGAUAAUGGACCAUCGAGACCAUCGAAUGGUAUGAAGCAUGAUUAUCACCUAGACAUGAUAUCCUAGACAGGACGGUGAAUUGUAAAAAGAGUAAUCUUGAUCAAAGAAUGUCCUAAUGAAACGGAACAUUUUUGGUACGUGUAGAGCAAAAUAUAGAAAACAGUAGAGUAGUUGUACGAUUGAAACUGCAUCCAUCGACGUGGUGCAUGAAUUGUUGAGCCAACACUGUGGACAUGUCUUCAUGAACACCAUCUAGUGAGGACAGCAUGCAGAAAAAUAUAAAAACAUGUCAUAGGGAGGCAGACCAAUCUUGCGAGGUAGACGAAACGUGAUACACGAUCUGCCUACCUUGUCGUGUGGAUACCCCAAGUGAAGAUGUCAUAGAGGUGCAGACCAAGCUAGCAAGGAGGUAGAUGAAACGUGAUACACGGCCUGCCUACCUUGCCGUGGAUAUUAGUCCUGAUAUCAUUCUAUUGUUCAAGGAAUAACACUCAAUGCUGCUGCUGCUGCUGACCUGGCUCCAUAAAGUUAUAUUCCUCUAGCCGCUUGCACUAACUUUAUCUGAAGUAUUAUUCUCUCUGCACUGUAUAUAUGGUUACGGAGUUUGCUGGAGUAUCCGGGGGGAAGAACCUACAUAAUAUGUCUUGGAACUAACUGACAUUGAUUCACAGACAAGGUGCUGUUGUUGACAUGGUACAGUAAAUAAUAUAGUUUACCAUAUACCGUAUACCAUUAUAUGUUAGCUAAAAUAAGAGCAUAACAUGUCGCAGGAGUCCAAAAGCACCGGUUGAGGACCAGGUACAUUAAAUUACUAGAAAACAAAAGGGGACAAGGUUUAGGUAGCCACAUGAAAAACAUUUGAAUUUACUGUACCAUGAACACUUAGUUACCAUGCCGGGAGCACCUAGUUAACACUAACAUUUAGCCACUUUAGAUCAUCCCGAAACACCAAUGACCCUCAAUAGCGACAAAUUUUGGUUUAAAUGCCGUCACCAAUGAUCCUCAAUAGUGACGUGUUUAGGUUUAAAUCCCAUCACUAAUAACCCUUGGUAGUGACGUGUUUUGGUUUAAAUCUCAUCACCACUGAUCCUCACUAGUGACGUGUUUUUAGCAACACACGUUAUGAAUGACUUGUCAUUGGUGACAUGUUAAACGCGUUAUCUCAAUGGCAAAUCAAUGGUGACGUGUUUAAAAAAACAUGUCACUGUGAGAGUUAUUGGUGAAGGGUAAUUAAAAUGCAUCACUAAUUUUGUAGCAUUAGUUAUGAUAUAAUUUUGUAACGCAAAAAUCUACCAUAGUAAUGAGGUUUAGAGCCAUCACUAAUGUGGGUUUCUUAUCGUAGUGAUGCAAGCUCUACAAGGUGCUGUUGUUGCCAUUUUAAAGCAUCCCAAAUGACUACAAGAGUCCGGUUGAGGACUAAACAAAUUGAAUUACUAGAACCAAAUGUAUGUCCAGAACAAAGAAAGGGGUCAAGGUUUGGGUAACCGCAUUAAAAACAUUGAAUUUUACUGUACCAUGAACACUUAGUUACCAUUACCAUGCCUUGAGCACCUAGUUACCACAAACAUUAAUUUAGCCACUUUAGAGGUUCCACAAUCACUAUAAAUAAUAUACCAACACCGUACCAUGAAAACAUCAAGAAGAGAGACGGGUACAUGGACCACCAUCAAGUGAGUAGUGACAGCACGCACAAGAAUACCCGGAACCUUUUAGCUUGUCUGUAGUGAUCUGUUUUCUUCGCCACAAAUAAUGAAAGAGGCUGACCAAGCUAGCAACGAGGUAGAGCAAACGUGAUACACGUAGGUUUCAUUCAAGACAUCCAUGUAAGAUUCAUUCAAAACAUUCAUGGAAAUUUCUUGUAAGUUUUCAUGUAAAUUUCAUUCAAGACAUUUGUUAGAGGUGUUGUAUAUACACUUAACGUACAUAUAUCUAUGAUUUCAUGGUUGUUAGUGAUGGCAGAUGAGGAGCAUGCAAGGUGUUUAAUGGAGCAGAUUAUUGCUAGUGGUAGUGGCUCCAACCUGCCCGUAACGUACACCGACGAAGAGGGCAGCCAGGCGGACAUGUUCCUCAACAUGUCCGGUGAUGGCAAUGAAGAGCCCGAGCAAAACCUUGCCGUGACGGAAGGUUCCAUCGAGGUAUAUAUCAUUUCCAUUAUUUUACCCCAUCUAUAAUUUCAUAUUCAUUAUUACUAUGUGCUAAUUAAUGAAUCUUGAACCGUUAGUCCUCUAGAUCAACGAACCGAAAUAAGCCCCGAGGUCUUACAAAGAUAAUGCAGGGAAGGCUUCACAUCAUGGAAGUCACAGAAGAGGGCACAUCGGUUGCUCCCGAACAUGUGGCAAGAAAGUACGUGAGUCAAACCGGGGCAAUCGUAAGGGACAACAUGCCCAUCAGCAUCAGGGAAUGAAAGAGCAAUAGAAAUGAUCUAUACGCACCCCCGGAUACACAAAAGGAUAUGUUGUGGGCAAAUAUCAAGAAACACUUCACAUUUCCCAAAGGAUAUGUUGAAAAAUAUGUGAAAGCGUGGAUGUUGAAGAAGAUGGCCACCCAAUUCCAGACAUUCAAGAAGAUGUUGGAUGCCAACUUCAUCAAGAAGGGUCGAACUCCGGGUUUCAAUGAGUGGCCAAAGUUAAGGGACCACUGGGAGUCGUUUGUCGAAUACAAGACGAGCGAAGGUGGUGCGAGUAAGGUUCACAUCAAUGUUGCCAAUGCUAGCAAGGAGUACCAUCAUCAUCUAGGGCGACGUGGUUACAGCUCUGCAAUUCCCAGAUGGCGCAAGAUGGAACAAGACCUGAUCGAUCGGGGUAUCGUACCAGCAACUCUUGACUGGAUCGAUUGAAAAAUUGGUAUUAUGCUCAUGAAGGCAAUCUGAGCCAAGAGGAUCCGACAUUGGUCUUCAAUAAAACAAUACGUCAGAAGGUCGGAAGGCUUAUUAGGAACAUUGAAGAUGCUAAAGCUGGGAGGUUCAAGGUGGAUAGAGAGAAUGAUGAACUCACAUUGGCCCUCGGGACUGUCAUCUCUAGCACUUCCAGCUCCAGGACUAUCGUCACCACCGGGACCGUCGCUUCCUGCUCGAUCACAGUCUCCAUCUCCAGCACAUCCUGGUGGUGCGAGCGACGACGACAACAACACCCCUCCCUGCCCACCAUUGCCGGGACUAAGACCCGCAUUGAGUAAGGAACCUGCAACACCACUGAAGAAGUCGCGACCACCACCUUCAAGGCAAGUCAGCAAAAGAAGAAAGCAGAGAAGCCUAAACCCACUGAGAAGCCAGCGACUGAUAUGACCGAUGCGGAAAGAUGGAAGGCACUCAAAGAAGAAUGCAGGGAGUGGUUCAGCGAAGGCGAAGGUGAGAAAGUCGUAUGAAUCGAAUUCAAGGAUAUAUAUGAAGUGAACCAUCAGGAUGCCCUUGAUGUCUCUCUCAUCAGCGCCUAGGUUCUGUAAGUGUAUGUUUAUCUAUAAGUAAAUUUUGGCUCAUAUCAUUAUUUUUUUUGCGUGCGUCACCCUACUAACUUCGUCUUCCAUUUUAUGUAGGAUGCUAAUUCAGACGUGCCGCAUAGAAGCGUACUUCCAUGUUGGAUUCAUGGAUCCAUCCCUAGUUAACCAAAAGCCGAUACGGAAGUAGCUAGAGAAAACGUUGGAGGUGGUGUACAACCUCCUGGACAAACUAAACUACAGAAUAGGGGCAAUAUGUGAGGGUCUUGUAGGAUUCCUAGUGGACGAGGUGAUAAAUCCAUAAGGAGAAUAUCAUUCCAACGGACGAGCAUUAGACACACUGAGCAACACCUAGAUGGGAGGAUCCUAGGAAUGACCUCGACAGAUUUUGGUAUAAAUAGUAAUUGUGUAAAUACUAGUUUGAUUUGUAUAGGAAUAUACUAAGAAUUGUAUAUAUAGUAAUUGUACAAAUACUAGUUUGAUUUGUAUGAAUACUAGAUUGAUUUUAUUAUAAAAAAGUUUUAAGUCGUACGUGCAUGCGCCUACAAAGGCGCGGAUGCCUUUUAAUCCCAGUCGGAAAAACAAACUGGUACUAAAGGGGCUCGUGCCGCACCUGGCAUGACCACCCCUUUAGUCCCGGUUGAACGACCCAGGACUAAAGAUCUCCGCGUCUCAAAAAUUUUAUCUCGGAUGCUUUUUAGAGAGAUUUGAGGCCUAUCAACCAAGACUAAUAUCGAGUUUUCUACCAGUGAAACUAACUAACGUUCACAUGGUUUUGACAUUCACCUGCCAUUUGGUGUAGACAAGGGCACCCUAACAUAUGGUUAAUAUUAUUCUUGAAAGAAAAUCCUUUGAUUCAAAAUACUUCAAACCUAAUAAUACAAUACUUCUCACAUCUGAAAAAUAUGAGACGGCCCGACAGUAUUCUAAUCGACGCAAUAAUAUUUUGAGGGCAGCACUACUACAGCGACCCUCAUUCGUGCCGGUGCUGGGACUCCUAUCACGACCCUGAUACAAAUGAGGGUACAUUAUUGGUGCCAGUGCUAGAACAGCCACGAAUAACUUGCUAAACGUGCUGUUACACUCACUACAGGGACCAAGAAGGUAGAUAAAUUACACGACAUAGCCUUGGUUGCCGUGGAAGCGCCAAGAAGGGAGACAAAUUACAGGGACCACACCAUCAAGUAGAUAGUGACAAUAUGCAAAAGAAUACCCGCGCCUGUUAGCAUGUGAACUGACCACACCACGAAACGUGAUACACGGCAAGCGUACCAAGGCCUUGCUGUGCAGACUAUGCAUGGACAACACAUGGUACCUGACCGCUUUUGGCCUCAGACACAUCGAAAAACUGCAUCGUUCCACGUUGUACAUCCAUUGCUAGUUUAUCUAUAUUACAUAAUAUAUUAUUAGCUAUUUGAAUAGAAUGAACCAAUUAAAAAAUUGCGUUGUAUUUUUAGUACCGGCUGCAGGAUGGUGUUACCAACCAGUACUAAUUGGCCUGUAGGAGUGAUGGUUAUUAGACUUGGUACUGUUGUUAGCAUCAUUAACCUAAUUGUGCGCCGUAUGAAUUUGGGGAUGCAAAGCUAGCUCUCUAUGAAUGUGAGGGAUGGAAAGCUAGUUCUCUAGUAGUAAUUAUAUAUAUGACAGUCAAGAAAUCGAACACUAUGCUGCUACGAGUCACCAUCAUUUCCUUCAUUGACAAUCUGACAUAGGUGAAGCUGCUUCAAUAAUUUCCUUCGCGCAGUCGUGGAGCUUAUUGGAUUAUCACCAGGACGGGACACGGAAAUGGCCAGCAAUGAAGCUGAUUGCCGUCUGAGGAAGACUACAUACUUACCUAUGAAAUGAAGCGAUUGCAUAGACUAAUGAAGCAUUGCAUAUUUGCAUGUGAGUGUGGCAGAUAAUUCUGCAGGACAUGAUUGCAAUCCACGCACCAUCGAGAAGACUGGGGCGAUGGGGUUGCCUCAUCAAUAAUCACGUGGAUGCAUGCAUGCAUGUUCCCGCAACCGGACAAGGGUCUGAUAUAUGGCUAUAGUAUUACUGAGCCCACAUCAAUAAUUUCCACUGGUGUAUCGUGUGGGAAGAAUCAACAUACUACACCUCGAGUUCUUGGAACUAACUGACGUUCACAUGCAACCUCCACAAGGUGCUGUAUGCUUUUGACAUUCACCUGCCAGUUCGUGUAGAGAAGGACACCCUAACGUAUAGUUAAUAUUAUCCAUUUCAUGAGUAAAAUACUGUGAUUCAAAAAUACUUCAAAUCCCUUGAGACAAUACUUCUCACUUGACUAACCACUAACCAACCCCGAAACCCUAACUCAACUCCGAACCCUAACCCCUAACGGCAUAACCACUCCGUUUUGCCGGCGAGAUGGAGGAACUGGCUGGAAGGUAGAGAGGGCAGCGGUCCAGGGUUGAAAACGACGGGCGAGCGCAGUAACAUGUGGAGGAGGAAGUGCCACGUAUUCGUUCACCGCUAUUGGGCAGCGACACACGACACGCCCAAUAAGAUCUUCGCACGGUAGAAGGACGUCAUGUAUUCAAUAAUGUUAUUGGUCCCCCAUGUGCAGAAGGGCGCGCGCGUAUGGAAUAACAAGUAGGGACACUGCAACUAAUCUACUCUGCUCGUCCAGUCCCUAGCCUAUAAAUAGAUGCCAUGCUAGCUCUUGUUGUGCUCACAAUUAAUCCGAUUACACACGAGCUUCUCUCCCUGGCCAAGACACAACCAUAGUAUGAUGAAGAACAUGGCACUAGCCGGCAAUGGUAUGAAGAAGUUAAUCCUCGCUGUUCUCUUACUGUGUCUAGUUAUAGGGCAGAUACAAGUGGAAGCUAAGAGCUGCUGCCCAUCCACCACUGCAAGAAAUGUCUACAAUACCUGCCGUUUCACGGGUACAUCCCGUCCAACGUGUGCAAAACUGUCAGGCUGCAAAAUUAUCAGCGGGAACAAAUGCAAGCCCCCUAACGACCACCUCACCCUUGACCCGGACACUGGUAAAUAAUAAAUUUAUCUCACUUGAUUUCUUCGUGAUUUGAGUCGUUAAUGUAUUUUCCAUCUGAUGAAACGUAUUGGUUUUGCAUUGAAGAGGAAGUUAAUGUGCUUAACUUCUGCAAGUUGGGGUGUGCGUCGUCUGUGUGCAACAACAUCAACGCUGGUAAGCAACUUUUGCUCAGACAGAGAAAACAAUAAUCAUUAAUUAGCGGCAGCUAGAAUCCUAUAAUCUAAUAUAUAUAUAUAUAUAUAAUUUUAUCAGCUCUGGGAAAUGAAGAGGCGAACGAUGCCGUUGAGAGUUGCGACCAAGCCUGCUCUAGCUUCUGCAGCGUGCAUGUUGGCAGCGCCACCGUGGUUGCUUAAGCAAAUGCAUCCAACUAGAUCGUCCUUGUGCUGAAUAAUUGGAUAUCGUAUCCACUUAAAGCUGCCUUGUGUAGUACGUCUUUGUGUCUCUCUUUAUAUUCCAAUAAGGUCGGUGAUCUUGAUGCCACACACUCAGAUGUGUGUUCAUCUCCAGAUACUACUCCAUGCUACCUGCCCUUUGUGUUUUGUUCAAUAACUGGGUAUCAUAUCCCAGCCAGUAUGCCGUCUGUUUUGUGUUUGUUUCCUUCUAGUUCCAAAGGGGUCAUCAUGAUGUUACCUUCUUUCAAUAUGGUGCUUUGCAUGACUACUGUUGUAUGGUACCAUCUUGUGGCCAAUAAGUACAUCUUAUCCUAUGACCUUUGCUAUGACCCUUUGCAAAUAAGUAGAAGAUUGUUAUAAGCGUCAAUACUCCGUAUAAAUUGAUCGCUGCUGUGAGUUCCCUUUCAGCUUAUCGUAGGCAUACAUUAUUGCUAGCACGGUAAAGCCAACCAACACGAAUGAUGAAGUAAACGUAGCGGUACUUCUGUAUACCAACACCCUUACUUAAAUGUACCGGUGUCAUUCCCUACUGGCACAUAUAUUCUUAUAUGCUAGCCAGCUUGUAAAAUUAACCAAUUAAAAUAAUUAUUUCAAGAUAGAAAUAACUUAUCGGUUUCUGGAAGCAUGUGUAAUGUGAAUUCAAGGACUCGACGGAAGUUGAAUCACUUCAUCUAUAUUGCUUUCAGUAUUUUGGGUAACUAAAUUUAACAUUUGCACAUACAAAUGUUAAAGUACAAAUGUUAAAUCUAGUUACCCAAGCAGAAUAUGAAGAUAGUUUAUAGUAUAUAUAUACUAUAUAAAUCUAGUUAACAUUUAGUCUAAAUGUUAAAUCUAGUUACCUAAAAUCCUGAAAGCAAAAUGUAUAAAUAUAUAUCUUUUAAGGCAGUAUAAGCUUCGAUUCCUAUUGCUGCUCUGUUAAAUCUCAUCUUUCGUUGUGGCCCAACACUCUAGUAUGCAUGUUGCACCAAGCUUCUUUGAGCCGCUCUGCCCUCUGAUUUUGCUGCGUAGGGGAAUCUUUAUCAGGUUGGGCUACUUCCAGUUGUGCGAUGUAAAGAUUCGUAUUUUCUAGAAGGUAGACAAAAAACUCGCGUUCUCUUAAGGCAACAACCGGAAGAUUCUGCAGCGCACAGGGCAUACCAUUAUUGUAGAAACGACCUUUAGUACCGAUCUCCAACCCCCUUUAAAACUGGUUUUGCAACCGGUACCGUUAUGUCGGUCCUUUAGUACCAGAUCAAAUAAGUACCGGUUGGUAACCAGUAUCAACUUGUUUUGCGGCCAAAAAAAUAAAGAAAAAAACAGUCAGAAGGCUCGCACACACGCGCAUCACAUGAAAUAUGCGUGUGCGGGGUCCAUGGGAUUCGAACCCAUGAAAUCAAGCUGCACGCGACCCUUCGUUACCAUCUCACCUACAUAGCGCAUAUGCUUUCCUGAAGUAACCCGUGGAGGAGGCUUUAGUACCGGGUCAUAACACCACCCGGUACUAAAAAUGACUCUUCAGUACCGGGUCAUAACACCACCUGAUACUAGUAUCGGAUGGUGUAAUGACCCGAUACUAAAAGGCCUCUAGGGACCCUCAAAUUUGAACCCGGUACUAAUGCUAAUAUUAGUAGCGGGUCAAAGUGCAGCCAGAACUAAAGCAUGGGAUGAAAGGUCAUAUUUCUAGUAGUGUAUAGUUGUUGUGAAGGACUGACUUGGCUGUCCUCUCUCUUCUCCAUCCCCUUGGUCUUACGCCGCCGCUCGCACGCGAGCCGGUGCCCAACCAGAGGAGUGAGAGCUAGGGGCAGGUUGGGAGGUGGGGAUAGUGACUGGUGGCCAGGGUGAUGGUUGAUCCUGGUGGGGUUAGGGUUUCAGGGUUUUCGAGCUUCCUAUGGUCGGCGAACCUAGAGGAGAAGCUCAACAUCAGCUGCAACCCGCGAUGGUGGUGGUUUGGCCGGCGCCCGAGGCGAGGCAGCGCGGGAGUGCUGCCGGUGGGUUGGUGUUGGCACUCAUUAUUGACAACUAUUUUGUUCAUAAAAUAACACUCAAACUUGCUGCUGCUGCUGCUGCCAUCGCCACCCUAGCCAUAAUAUAAAGGCAAAAUUUGCUAAAGGACAUGCAAAAUGAUGCUAGUUUGCUGGCGGGCAUCGUUGACCUUGUAAUAUGCUACAAGACACUCUAGUUGUGUAUCAAUUUGCUGAAAGACAUUGCUAUGACUAAAAUAAUGUUUCUGGACUGAGUUGGAGAGAGAGAUGGAGUGAAAUGUCUGUUUUGCCCAUGACCCCACUGGUCAGAUCCUUCUUCUUCCACCCUCCUUUGUUCUUUCUUCAACCAUUACCCAGCUCCAGCGUGUUGCAGAUCUACGAGGGUGGCGGCCUGGGGCGAGGGGCAUCGCUCGCCCUUGGAGGAGCGCUGCGAGCGACGGCGCGGGGGCGGCAACAGCGCGUCAGAACCUGACUGUUCGUUAGCUCCUCUCGCUGCUGGGGAAGAAGGAGGGGGAUGGGCCAUGGACGGGGUUCCCUUGAAAACCUCAGCGUCGAGCUCGGGCGGCUACGCGCAGGCAGCACUAGGCUGCUUCACGGGGAGGGGGCGCGGCCAAUCAUUGGCACCCCACUGGUCCAAUGCUGAUGAAGAUGGUGCCAGCGUCGUGUGAGGACAUCUCAUCUCCUCGAGUUCCAUGGCCAGCACAGGUGAGCUGCCGCUACCACAAAACAGAGGUUUCGUGAGAGUCAAAAAACCUUAUGAAAAUAGCUAAAACCAUCAUGAAAAUAAUCCGUGACAUGACACUCUCACGAAAAUCCUCUCACAAAUAUGGUGCCAUGAAAAUACCAUUUUCAUGAGAGUGAACUGUCAUGAUUUUAUAAGCGUCAAUACUCGGUAUAAAUUGACUACUGCUGUGAGUUCCCUUUCAGCUUAUCGUAGGCAUACAUUAUUGCUAGCACGGUAAAGAGAACCAACACGAAUGAUGAAGUAAACGUAGCGGAACUUUUGUAUACCAACACCCUUACGUACCGGUGUCAUUCCCCACUGCCACAUAUAUUCUUAUAUGCUAACCAGCUUUGAAAAUUAAGCGAUUAAAAUAAUUAUUUCAAGAUAGAAAUAACUUAUCGGCUUCUCGAAGCUUGUGUAAUGUGAAUUCAAGGACUCGAUGGAAGUUGAAUCGCUUCAUCUAGAUUGCUUUCAGGAUUUUGGGUAACUAAAUUUAACAUUUGCACACACAAAUGUUAAUGUACAAAUGUUAAAUCUAGUUACCCAAGCAGAAUAUGAAGAUACUCUAUAGUAUAUAUGUACUAUAUAAAUCUAGUAAACAUUUAGUCUAAAUGUUAAAUCUAGUUACCUAAAAUCCUAAAAGCAAAAUGUAUAAAUAUAUAUCUUUUAAGGCAGUAUAAGCUUCAAUUCUCUGUUAAAUCUCAUCUUUCGUUGUGGCCCAACACUCUAGUAUGCAUGUUGCACCAAGCUUCUUUGAGCCGCUCUGCCCUCUGAUUUUGCUGCGUAGGGGAAUCUUUAUCAGGUUGGGCUACUUCCAGUUGUGCGAUGUAAAGCUUCGUAUCUUUUAGAAGGUAGACAAAAUACCCGCGUUCUGGAAGAUUCUGCAACGUGCACGUUGGCGCUGCCACCGUGGUUGCUUAAGCAAAUGCAUCCAACUGAAUCGUCCUUAAGCUGAAUAAUUGGAUAUGGUAUCCACUGCUUAAAGCUGCCAUGUUUAGUACGUCUUUGUUUUUCUCUCUUUAUAUUCCAAUAAGGUCGGUGAUCUUGAUGCCACACACUCAGAUGUGUGUUUAUCUCCAGAUACUACUCCAUGCUACCUACCCUUUGUGUUUUGUUCAAUAACUGGGUAUCAUAUCCUAGCCAGUGUGCCAUCUGUUUUGUGUUUGUUUCCUUCUAGUUCCAAAGGGGUCAUCAUGAUGUUACCUUCUUUUGAGGUGUCUAUGAUGACUUCGUUAAUAUCAAUAUUAACCAAUUCAAUCUGUCUUAACUAUUUGUAAGGGGUAUGAUGUAUGCAUGAUUAUAACAAUGAUUGCGCAUACAAUCGCCGCCAAAGAAACGGUCAAUACCAUUAAGACAUAUUACAGACAAUUCUCAUAAUCUAUAAUGAAUAUACAUAUUCACUACUGCAGAAGACUGUCAUUUGUAUCGGCUCAUACGUGCCAGGGCAAAGGUCACCCUUGCAUUAAGUACAUUUGCACGGUAAAGACAACCAACACGAAUAAUGAAGUAAACAUGCCGGUGCUUUUGUACACCAACACGCUUACUUAAAUGUACUGGUGUCAUUCCUCACCGGUAGCCGGCUUGAAAAUUAACCAAUUAGAACAAUUAUUUAUUGUAUCGGUGUGAUUUUUGACCUAUUGGAAUAUGAAUUUGACCGUUACUGCAUUCGUCAAGACUCAAGAGAGAAAUAACUGAUCGGCUUCUUAGAGCGUGUGCAAUGUGAAAUCAAGGACUGGAUGGAAGUUGAAGCGCUAGCACUAGUAGAGAAACGACUUUCCAUCCACCCCCUUUUGUCCCGGUUUAAAGUUGGCUCGGGAUAAAAGGUUCACCAACCGGGACUAAAACUCAGUCACUGGUGGGAGGCUCACCAACCGGAACCUUUUAUCCCGGUUGCAAAGGCUAAUGGGAAAAAAAGACUCUGAGAGGCCUUUUAUCCCGGUUUGAAACACCAACCGGGAUAAAAGACCCCCCUUUUAUCCCGGUUGGUAACACCAACCGAGAUAAAAGGGUCAAGAGCCUUUUAUCCCGGUUGGAAACACCAACCGGGAUAAAAGACCCCCUUUUAUCCCGGUUGGUGUUUCAAACCGGGAUAAAAGGGCCCCCACGAGGUGACUGGAAGGUGACUGGAAGGGGAUUAAAUCGUGGGGGACCCUUUUAUCCCGGUUGGAAACACCAACCGGGAUAAAAGGGGGUCUUUUAUCCCGGUUGGUGUUUCCAACCGGGAUAAAAGGGUCCCCCACGAGUUAAUACAAAAGGAUAGUAUCCCCUACAUAGUCAGAUGUGGUGUGUAGGUGGGAUGGUAAGGAAGCUACGCGCGAGCUCCGGAAUUUUUUUUUUUUUUUUUUGCAGCGUCGGCGCUCUCUACCCUUUUAUCCCGGUUGGUAUUACCAACCGGGAUAAAAGGGGGUCUUUUGUCCCGGUUGAGUGACCCGGGAUAAAAGACCCCCCCUUUUUUCCCCGGUUAGUUUAUCCCGGAUGCAUUUUCGGGAUAAAAGCACCCUACCAACCGGGAUUAAAGCUCACUUCUCUACCAGUGUAGCUUCAUCUUCCGCUGCAAGUUAAUUGCUUGGAUAAGAAGUUGUAGCCGCUGCAAGUUAUAAAUAGUCCCGCUGAUGCUGUGCUCCGAAGUCUAUACUAUAUAUGCGGAAACUAGAUUGCUUUCAGGAUUUUGGGUAACUAAAUUUAACAUUUGUACAUAAAAAUGUUAGUUUACGAAUGUUAAAUCUAGUUACCCAAGCAGAACAAGAAGAUAGUAUAUAGUAUAUACUAUAUAAAUCAAGUUAACAAUUAGUCUAAAUGUUAUAUCUACUUACCCAAAAUAUUGAAAGCAAAGAAAGAAUAAGUAUAUAUCUUUUGUUGGAAAAUUGGUCCACGGAGAGGCCCAUUUAGGCCUCGUUCGUUUCACCGGGAUGGGAUUCCAGUCAGGAUUACUUCCAAGUUCGGUUUGAGUGAUUCCACCCGUGUCACUCAAUCCGGCUAGGAUUCAUUCUAUGGGUGAGGAGGUAUGGUUUCAAUCCAGGCCAUCUAAUGUAGAAGGAUUCCAAUCCAGGCCGGUUUUCGUUCCAGGCCAGACUAAAACGAACAACACUUUCAAUGCAAGUCUGGUUUCAAACCGGGCCAUUUCAAACCACCCGGAAUGGACCUCGUUCCAGGCCAAUCCGGUGAAAACAAAUGAGGCCUUAAUGGAAUCCCAAAGCAAGAGUUCAGUGGCAUUCUAUAGUCCCAUGCUGCUAGUUUGAGUUGGUCGAAGCCAACUUAAAUAGGAGAGCUCUCUCACUUCUCUAAAUACGUAACUGAAGGAGAGAAGGGGGCUUGGGUUACACAACGCACGCACGCACGCAUAUUUGCGUUCUUUUCGCGUAACCAACCGCGUGACUUGAAACUUGCGACGUAGCGUGCUGCUAAGUCAAGUUGAUAUAACCUUUUUGCCGUUUGCAUGUAAUCUUUUGACAACGGUCAUUGGAGGUGAUAAGCACGCAGUCAAUACCUUAAUCUUGAGUUAAUAGGGUGGUUACUACUGCCAAUUAGUGGGGCAAUUUUGUAGGGGAAACGGUUAGCAGAGGGCUACCGUCUUCUCUAUAAGAAGUUCUGGAGACGUCCAGGAACACACAUGUACAUGUGAGAGACCCACAAAUUCCUUCCCUUCUCCCUUUUCCAUGUGGUGAAGUGUGCUGUGGUACUGAGCUGCUUGAUCUCGCCGCUCUUCUCCUUGGCAUGCACCGAGGAGGAGGGUGAGCGGUAUCUCCGAGCUAUUGCCGUCAGGAAGCCUGCACGAGGGACAACAAAAAGUUUUUGGGUAGCGCAACUGCCAGCACAACUCUCCCUCCGCCUCUUCUUCACGGUUGAUGGCCACCACAAGCAUAAACCUCGCCUUCGCAUCCACGCAAAAGGGUCGCUGGGGUGCCUUCUUGCAUCGCUUCUCAGCCUCCUUGACUUGCGGCCAGCCAAGAACUGCGCCACCACCUCGGGUGCACGCCACCACUCCAGGGCUGCUACCCCAUGCCUGCGGCCGCCGCCGGCCACCACGCGUGUGCAACCGCGUCGCACCGCUUCCUUGCUUUGUGCCACCACUGCUGCUGUACCACCAGCUCCACCACCUUGGGCUGGUCGCCAGAGUGACUGAUAACUUAUUAUCUGUAACUACUAUUAACUCAGGGAUACAUGCGUCUUUUGCUUCUCCUACUAAUAUGUCCUAAAAUAUCUAGGAUGCCUUAUAUUUCUGGACAGAGGAAGUAUUUGAAUAAAAUGAACCAAUUUAAAAAAAUGUGUUGUACACUACUACAGAAAGACCUAUCAGUGUCAAACCCAAAAAUGUUGUCACCGCCAGUUUUGGGCAUCAUUGGUGAAAGGUUGGCGGUGAUGGGCUUUCCCUUCAACAACGGCACUGGAGCCGACGGUGAUUGACAUUAGAAAACAAAAAAGGGGACCCUACCUAGCCACCCCUGCAACCCGGCCGGCCGUGCCUCCCCUCAUCCCCACCACCUCGCCUCCCCAUGACCCCCCGCCGGCGCCCUUGCGCCUAGCCCCCUCAACUGCCCAGCCGGCCACCCUCAUCACGAGAGAGAGGUGCAUGUUGUAUAAUUGCGUGAAUUUUUUAAUGUUUAAUUUCAUGUAAGUUCCGUGUAAUAAAUUGUACAAGUUUUAUUGUAUAUAUGAAUUCCAUAUAUAUAUAUAUAUAUUUAUAAUUUAAUGUAUGGUUUCAUGUGUAUAUUUCAAUCAUGUGUAUAUUUAGUAGAUUGCCGAUUUUCUUUUUCUACUAGACAAGGGUUGAUGUAUAAUUACGUGUAUAUGUUUAUUGUACGGGCAAUUAGGACAAGUUUUGUAUAAAUUUCUUUUAUUUGAUGGUUGUUGUAUGGUUUCAUGUAUAUACAUUUAUUGUACUACUUUAGACAAUUUUUAAUUUAAUGUUUCUAUGAUUAGAUGUGUGUAUAACUAAUUGUAUUAUUAGUUAAGAUGGGAGCUAAAGAGGAUGAAAGGUAUAUAAUGGAGCAGAUUAUUGCUAGCUCAAACGUUGCAAGAACCUACACCGAGGGUGAGGGUAGCUAGGUGGACAUGUACCUCAACAUGUCCAGUGAUGGCAAUGACGAUGAGGAGCACGAGCAUGACAUCUAUGAUAAUGCGGAACAAGACAUUGCAGAAUUGGAAGGUUCUAAUGAGGUGUGCUUCAUGUUGACAAUCUAGUUGGCUUUUUUUCGUUGGUCACACCUUAGUUACCAUAGAACUUCGUCUCGGGAGAAGAUUGGUGGUGGUAUGGUGAUUGGAAUUUUAUUUCCACGAAAUCUGAUUUCCAUCGAAUCAUAUCCCUUGUAUUUAUCUUCUUUUUAUUUGUGAGAGCAUCUUCUUUAUGCUUGCAAAACAAUUCAAGUGCACAUACUACCCCUAGGGUGACGAUUGGGAGUAGAAAUAAUUGCCAACAAAACAACACCACAUCCUAAGAUUCUUAACUUGUGGCAUAAUUAGUCUAGUAAAAAGAAAGAUAAAAACCUAAUGGGUGUAUGUGAGUGCAAUGUGUAUAUGCAUAUGAGUGGAAGGCAUAUAAGCAAAGACAAUAUUUACACAUAGUUCUAAACACCAUGUUUACAGCUAGGUUGCUGAAUUUCUCCAUAGCCAUAGAGAUUAAUUAACCAAGGUCAAAACACGAUGUCUAUCCCAAGAUCAGUAAUUAUUUAUAGCACAAGAAAAAGAAAGCGCAUUGCAAAGUUUAUAAACCAACCAAUACAGCAUGAAAACAAGAUGAAUAGCUAGCAAGGUUUAUUAAACUGAAUGAUGACGGUCUGUAAGCAAGUUUAAACACCAUCUUUACACAAGAUUGCAAAUGGAAAAUGCCCAUAUGAAGCACUAACAUGGAUAUGAAAUCAUUCAUCAUAAAGCGUAAAGAACAACCAAGCCAACCAUAUGCAAAGCAUGAAUGGAAUGCAAUGAAGGUGCAAGAGAACAUUUUUGGAUGAACACAUUAUGAUGAUGGCAAAAUGCAAUGCAUGCAGAAAAAAUAAAUAUGAACAUGAAUAUGAUGAUCAGGGGCGGACCCACUAUUGUGGCCUGGGUAUUCCUCGGCAUACCCAAUAUUUUUGGGAAAAUGUUUAGUAGUUUUUAAUGGCAUAUACAUGUAUAAUAUAGUUUAGGUGUUAAAAUUGAUAUUCACAGCUAUUUUGGGCUCCAAUUCGCGUCCAAACCAACCUGGCCCACAGACCGCACCCGGCCGCCCGGCCCAUCGGCCCAUCUUGUCACUGAUCCUCCCACCACCACACUCAGCCCGUCAGUUAGUCAGGUCCCGAGCUCCUGCCUGACCUAGUCCGCUACCACCGCCAGGCGCCAGGCACAGCUGUACACGCCGCCCCCGUCCACCCACGUCCGCCGCACGGCCGCGUCGCGCCCCCCCCCGGCGCCCGCUGCUGCCAGAACCCAUUAGGCCUCCACCGGCAAGUCCACCCACAGUCCCGCGCGACGCGGCAGCCUCUUGGCUCUCGGCGCUCGCGGCGCGCCAAUGCCUGCGCAGCCCCAGCAGGCGACUGCCCCCCCCCCCCCCGCAUCGGGCCUCGGCCCCUCCCCAGCUCCCCCUCCCCCCUCCACCAGGACUGCCUGCUGGCCCCCACCGCGAGGUAAUCGAAAUGGACUGCUCAAUCUCUCAAUCUGUUGACAUGAUGCACACGGUUGCAAAAAUAGAUGUGUCAAAAUAGAUGUAUUGCCAAUUGCUAUAGAUGCAUAUGGUUGACAUGAAGAAGUCAAAAAUGACAUUUGGUUCCUUGUAGGCAGUCAAAAAUGAAGAAGUCAAACAAUAUUGAUCUGAAAUCAAUGCGGGAAAGGGCUACGAAGACACACGGGUAGAUUCCCUUGUGAACUUUUUAUGUCGUUCGUCUAAAUAUAUUUUUGCAAUGGGCAUACCCUACUCUGAAAUCCUGGGUCCGCCACUGAUGAUGAUGGUCUAAACAUAAAACAAGCCUAGAUUAAUUAGCUACAACUGAAAUUAAGCAAAGGUUAAUGUCAUUGACCCUAGCUCUAUCCUAGCUUUUACUAAAGUCCCGGCACAUAUAGUGGUUGGGCCCACUCUCUCUACUUCCCUCUCUGCUGCAUGCACACACACGAGCAACUGGAGGCCCAACAAAGCCCAGAAGGGUUCGGCCGAACCCGUCCGAUCCAGUCUGAGCGCCGCUCCCUCCCAGCCUUCGCGCAGAUGCUCCUCCAACGUUCCUUGACCCCUCCCUCAGUGUCCCAUUGGGUUUAACAUUGUAGGAGAGGAGUCCCUUUUUUAAAAUCUCAACCACCUCCUCUCCUCAUUCACUCCACUCUCAUCUCCAUCAAACUCACCAAGAUCCACAUCGGAAAUACCUGCUUACCACCAUGGCUGGCAAAGCCCUCGUCCCUUUCACCAACUUGGGCUUGACCAUUGAUCUCGAUGGGAAAAUCACUCCAGCAAAUGUCAUUGUCCCUGUCGGCGAUCUGGCGAUGGAGGAGGUCCAGGCACUAGAGGUCGAGCCCCUAGCCAUCAUACCGCCCAAGGGGUAAAGCAGGAGCAUGACAGGCGCUGCUAGGGGUUCAGCCGAACUCCCAGUUCAGCCAAACGAGGACGGCGUCGCCUCGGCCUCCCGCUCGACUGCAUGCUUCCCCUUGCCAAGGAGGACUCCAGAACAGCGGGCGCGUGCGUCAAGUCCCUACAAAAGGCUGAAAUACAAUGAAUAUCCAGGGUCACCCUUGAAGAUGGGUGAACGCUACGCCGGGUCCUUGUUUGACUAGUACGGCGAUGCAUUCUGCCACCGCUAUGUCGUUGUCGAGAUUAGCGGAUCAAGACUUAGACUAGUAAAUUUCUUUUAUGCGCGUAAGGCUUCAGAUGGUGGCGUGGGAGACAUGGGUUUUAUACUAGUUCGGGCAAUGGAAUACCCUACGUCCAGUGUCUGGAGCUGCUUGUGUUGCCCACGCGGGGUUCUGUAGUAGGGGUUACAGGUGUGCGAGAGAGGGAGCUAAUCCCAGGUCUCUUAGGCGUGUUCCGGUCCUCUAGAUGGGAGAAGUGUGUUCUGUUUGCUUGGGAGUAUCGGUUGUGUCUGAGUUGUCUCCGGAGCCUCCUCCCGUCUCAGGUCCCCGAUUCUCCUUUCAUAGCACAAGGAGACCAUCGGGGUUACAGACGAGACCGAGCGUGGGGAGGAGUAAAGAGAUAAACAUAGCUAGGUAAAAAUACAACAAGAAAGGGGGGAACCAAGUUUCUAGGUCACCGGCGUCCUCGCCGGCCUUCGACUUCCGCCGGCGCAUUUGUCGGAGGAGGGUGGCCGCCAUCGCGUUCUGUCGAUGGCUUCCUCGGUGACUGUAGCCACCGGGCGUGAUGAUGGCAUUUCGUCGUGACCCUUUGUCUGUUGGGGGAGGCGGCGGAUCCUGCCAUUCUGCUGACGGCUCGCGGAGUGCGAACGUCGCAUCCCUGCCGCUGGGCACGCGGGGCGCGAGAACGUGCGAGGCUUCCCCCUACCCCAGGCGGCGCAGGCCAUGAGUGCCCUGUGGCAAAUCGGAGGAGGCCGCAGCUACUGUAGCUUGUACUGUGCAGCCACGUAUGGGUACUUGUGGCAGGUUGCGUGGUGGAUGCGGAUAUCCUUCUCCCUGACAGAUCUGCGGCGCAUUUAUGGCGAGAUCGACAUGGGGACCCACAAGACCCGCGCCCAAGGCGGAUACUUGUCUGGAGGGCCCGGGUUAGCCUGACCCCCUACGCUUGGGGUCGGGCGAGGCGGAGACUUGCGGCGGGGCGUCGGACGCUCCCGACACUAGACCUGCGGUCGCGCAAGGCGGAGCUUGGUCUUCCGGGGGUCGGGGGUGCCGGACCCCAGGAUGCGGGGUCGGGCGAGGUGGAGCGUAAUUCUUGCCUCCCAUGUUGGGCCGAUGGCAGUCUUUGUUACCUCUAGUGGGCUUGGGCCUUUAUGUUUUGUUGUUUCCAUGGGCUUCGAGAGGUCGUUAAUAUUUCCCCCCAACAGUAGCCCCCGAGCCUGUGGUGGAGUGGGGGCGCUCCUCCGGAGGCUACUAUCAUCGCCCCUAGGGAAUCCUCGCAGUUGAUCCGGGAUAGGAGGUGUUGUUUGCACGGCUUGACCGAGGGGGUCGAUUAGGCGACGCAUCCUGUGAGCGACUCGGUGCGGGAGGGUUUCUUGUUGUUCCCUUCUGUCUGAGAGCCUUAAGUCGAGACCACCUGCGUGGCCUUUGGUUGCAAGGCCAGCCCCCGAGCCCCCGCACGUUGCAGGGGACCGGUCGGAGGCUAGGUCGACUUUUGUUCAUUACCCUCAAGCGUCUGUUCGCUAGGACGGAGGGGGCGAGCCGUGCCAUGCUAUCCUCAUCGGACGAACCAUGGUGCUCAUUGAGUUACUAACGGGUUGAUUCGAGUGGGAUCCCGGUCCCCGUUCGGGGGGGGUCCGGCUUGGGCCAAGCUGGUGGCGUACCCCAGGCUCCGGUCGGCCAGUUCAUAUAGUUCCUGAGUCCGUUCGGUCGGACCGGGGGCUCAUUGCCUUUCUUCGGGGAAAAACCAUGAACUUUGAUGCCGGUCCAGACUCGAAUGUGAGAUUGAGACGCCCGGGGCUGUCGCGUGCCCGGGUGAUGGCCGCUAGCGGACCCGUCUCCUCUCACCCCUCACUCGGGGGUAUCCUGAGGCGGCUGUCGAACCCGUGGCGGGCCAGCCUUCGAACCUCUGGAUCGUAAUGGGCCGUAGGGGCGUUUUCAGCCCCGUAUCCCUUUUUACCUUUUGGUGGGCCUUGGGCCGAAUCAUGGAGGAGGUCGGGCCUUGGGCCGGAUGCGGAGGAUGUCGUGCCUUGGGCCGGAUGUGGGGGACGUCGUGCGUGUCUUCCGGGAGACGAAGUGGUGGAGGGUGCCAACCCGCGAAUCGAGGGAGGAGGGGAUGUUUCUACUGCAGGUCAUGCGCACGGUUUCCGAAAAGGCAGCGGGCGUGACGGGACGUACCUCGCGCCGCAUUUAUUGCGAUGGGGGCGUCUGUUCUGCUUCCCUCGUGCCUUCCCUAUAAAACGAGGACUUCGCCUCGCCGGUUCCGCCCGCCAUCUACCUUCAAGCCUUUUCGCCUCCUCGCGCGCCCUUAGCUUUCCUGUGCCCGCUUCGUCUUCCUCCGCCCAGUGCCGCGCCCUUUCUCCCCAUCCGCCGUCGAGUUCUUCUCCCUCCGGCGAUGGGAUCCUGGGCGCGUUCCCACUUCGGCCCCUCACGCGCCGAAGGCCUAGUGAGGAAAGGCCUCCUUUGCGAGAGGACGGAGACGGAUGAGUGGGGGUUCCCUGAGAUGGAAGAGGUGCCGACUCCGCCCACCGGCUACGUCGUUUCCUUUGCCCACUUCCACGAGAGGGGGUUUGCGACUCCGCCGAGCCUCUUCUUCCGCGGGCUUUUGUAUUACUACGGGCUUGAGCUGCAGCACCUCAACCCCAACGGGAUUCAGCACGUCGCGGCGUUCGUUGCGGUGUGCGAGGGGUUCCUGGGCAUUGAGCCCAACUUCUCGCUGUGGAAGUACUUCUUCACGGUCAGCCUAUACCAGAAGGCCGAGAAGAGGGGAAGCCAGCAGCGGUCGACCCCGGUGCCGAUAGGGUGCGUCGGAAUCCACCUCUGCCAUACUCGCGCCAAGGAGUAUAUCGCGAUGAAGACCGCGGCAUCCCACAAGGGGUGGCACCAGCAAUGGUUCUACGUGAAGAACUACUCCAACCCCCCCUGCCGGAGUUCACCGGCCGCAUUAUUGAAGCGGCGCCGGAGGUGUGGGUGUACGGCCCGGUGGAGAAGGAGAAGAAGCGGAUCACCGGCCUGCUGCAGGCCAUCGAGCACCUGAAGGAGAGGGGACUGACCGGAGCCGGAGUCAUCGGGGCGUACCACGCCCGGCGGGUGGCGCCGCUGAUGCUCCGGGUCCGCUCGCUCGCCGACAUGACCCCCGGUGCUCUCACCGAUGGCACUGUCCUCGCGACGGGUGCUCUCGCUGCCUCCGAGAUCCGGCAGCGGAUCCGGGAGGCGCUGGAGGACAAGGACGCCGAUUACCCGGUGCCCGGCCACCCUCCGAUGCGCCCGGACGAGAAUUUCAUUGAUCUGGUAAGGAUUUUGCGCGCCAGUUUCCCUCUCUUGCGUUUCUUGGUAUGCCGUUCUGACGCGAGGCCCUCUGUGUUUGCAGGGUAGCAUGACCCGGGUCGUCGACUUGCGUCCGCCAGUGUCGGAGGACGCCGAGUGGCGGUAGCAGAACCGUCUCCUUGCCGAGAAGCAAAAGUGACGCAAGGACAAGAGACAGCGAAGAAGAAGAAGAGGGCCGCCAAGGAGUUCCAGCGGCGGCGGUGGGGAUAGGUCGUGUCGGAUGACGAUGACGAUGAGAAGGAGGAGGAGGAUGACGAGGAGGAGGAGGAGUUUAUCCUGUCCCCCCGGUCAGGGGCGCUUGUUAUCCGGGAGCCGCGCUCCCAAGCGGCCAUGGGGGACAAGGCGGGCGAGCUGCCUGCCCGGACCCGAUCCUGCGAAGCUUUGGGGGCGCGCCCCAGGGGUCGGCGCAGAGCGCCCCCCGGGGGUCGACGGAGCCGACCCCCAUCCCUACACCUGCAGCCCAGGAGCAGAGGAGCAGCGACAAGCGGCCGUUGCCAGAUGCCCCGGGGUCGGCGUCCAGCUCAGAGGCGAAGCGCGCGCGCCGCCCUUGCGCUGGGGGAACGUGAGUUGAAUUUCCUUGCGAAUCUCGUUCCUUUCCAUGCAUUGUGUUUGUUUCCGCUGAUGCUGUUUGUUGUCUCACAGCACCGCCCCUCAAGGCCUUGUCCCGCCGUUGGCGCCAAAGAAGGCGUUGCGGUGUUGUCGCCUCUGCGGGGCGGACCGCGGCUCCGCCGGCGGCGAGUGGCGGGGUCACUGGUGAGACCGCGGGUCCUACCGCGGAGGUGGCCCCUGCGGCGGCAACCGGUGGAGUGGUGCCACCGCCGGGCAUGGGACAGGGUCUGGACCCCGCUCCGUCCUCCGCCUCUUCGGCCGACCCCGCGGUGCAGAGUAUCGCUCCUGGGGGCCCUCAGGCCGGGGAGGUGAUUGACCUCGACGCCGACGAGGUGGAGGAGACGGCGGCGGUGGAGACGGGGGCGGUUGCCCCAGCGGCCAUGACGGGGACGACGACGGCGACGGGGGAAGGAGAGUCUACCCCCGCGGCCACGGCGGGGACAGUGGCGACAGAGGAGGCGGGGACGCCCGCCCCGGCGGCUGCGACGGAGGAGGCGGCGGUGACGGAGACGGGGGCUUCCGCCCGGGAAGCCACAGCCGAGGUGGCAGCGGCGACGGAGGUGAAAGUGCCUGUUCUGGAGGCCACGGUGGGGGUGGGGACGCCUGCCUCGUGGCCACGACGGAGGGCGAGGCGGCCCCAGGGACACUUGCUCCGGCACCCGCGUUGGAGGCGGUGGCGCCGACGGGUUGGCCCGUGGCGGCCUCGACGGGGGCGGGGGUGCGUGCGCCGGGACCGUCGGUGAGGCCGGCGACUUCCGGGAUGGUGGUGCCCGUCUUGACGGCGGCGGCGGCGCGGUCGGCCCCCGCCCUUGCCUCUACCACUCCCAUUCCCAAGGCGUGGAGCGGAUCCGUCCUGCGUUGGUCGUCUCGUGACGACCCGCAGAGGCCCCUCUUCACGUUGGAUGAUGCCACAGAAUGGGGCAAGUGGCAGGCGCUGCAGGGCGGACUCGCUAACGUCCGCGCCGCUCUAUCUUCGGCGUUGGGGGAGCUGGACGGCGUCAUCUUCCCCGGUGGCCGGGUAUGGUGCUUUCUCCGUUGGUUAUUUUCUUCCCGUUACUUCGUCCCUGAUGGCACAUUGUUCUGCAGGCCCUCCAAGAAUGUAGCCGGGGAAAAUCUGAUUUCCUUUGGCUCGAGCAGGGGCUCUGGGAGCGCUUCAACUUGGAGUUGCAGCGGACCGGGGAGCUGACCAUGCAAGUCGCCACCGUCUAGCAUGUCAUCGACGAUCUGCGAAGGCACGAGCAGGCGGCACAGGAGGACGCGCGGCGGGCGGAGGCCAAGUUCCAGGUCGUUGCCGAAAGGGCUCGCUGCGACCGCGAGGAGUUCCAGGCCGUUGCCGAAAAGGCCCGCCACGACGCUGAGGAGCUCGCACGGCUGAAGGUGCAGCAUGAAGCUCUUCAGAAGAGCGGCAGAGGGCCUGGCAGGACCGGGACGCCGAGAAGGUCCGGAAGGAGGAGGCUGAGAAGGUGGCGGCCAACCUUGGGGCUGAGGUCAGCCAGCUCCAAGUGCAAGCGCGAGAGCUUCAGGCCUCCGUGGCCCAGGGGCUCGACCAGGAGCGCCAGCUGAAGGCCUAAUCCGAGGGUAUGACUCUGUUUAUUUCUUUGUCUUUGUGAUGUUGCGGUGAUAUUUUAUUUGGCGGGUUCUUCUGGAUGAUCCUUGCAGAUGAGCUCAACUGGCUGAGGGAGGUGCUUGACGCGGAGCGCGCUGAGCACGGCGACCUGCGGGACGCGGUCCGCGUCAUCUGUGACUUCCUUAGUGUGGUCCAGGGGGAGGGGACGAGCUCGCUGGCGGCUCGUGUCCUCGGGACGUACCGCCGGACCAGCGAGAUCGCCCUGGAAGCGCUUCGCACCGGCUUGAGGCAAGCCUUUGGGGUCUUCGGCUCCCACUAUUCCGGCAUCAACUUCGCCGGGAUGAGCGGGGGAUACGCCACCGGCUACUACGAGGCCGAGCUGGAUGAGAUCGACGUGUCGGUGCUCAGCCCGGCGGAGGCCUUGGUGAAGCUCCUCGAGGAUGAGGCCGUCCCGCCCGAAGAUCCCCGGACGAGUUAACUAUAUCGGGCUGGCGCCCCAGAUGUAAAUACGUUAGGGAAAGACUUGUUUUUUGUGAGGGCCGUAGAGGCCUUUUCUAUGAAUUGUCGUAAAAAAGUUUUUGAUUCCCUUUCUUGCUUUUUGGACUUGGAAAGUUUAGAGCACGUUGUCGGGCGUGUCAGUAAGCUUUGAUGAGCGAAGGCACCGUAGCCGCUGGGGCGUCGUUUUUUUUGCAGUCCGAUCAAUCUUGCCUGAACACCGUUCGUGCACUUUCUCCUUUUUAUGCCCAAAAGUUCAGAAAGAGGGUCGGCUCGGAAAGAGAAAGCGUUUUGAGAGGGUGUCAAGUGGCUUAGGUACUUGCGGCAGGUUGCGUGGUGGACGCGGAUAUCCUUCUCCCUGACAGAUCUGCGGCGCAUUUAUGGUGAGAUCAACAUGGGGACCCACAAGACCCGCGCCCAAGGCGGAUACUUGUCUGGAGGGCCCGGGUUAGCCCGACCCCCUACGCUUGGGGUCAGGCGAGGCGGAGACUUGCGGCGGGGGGUUGGACGCUCCUGACCCUAGACCUGCGGUCGGGCGAGGCGGAGCUUGGUCUUCCAGGGGUCGGGGGCGCCUUACCCCGGGAUGCGGGGUCGGGCGAGGCGGAGCGUAAUUCUUGCCUCCCAUGUUGGGCCGACGGCAAUCUUUGUUACCUUGGGUGGGCCUGGGCCUUUAUGUUUUGUUGUUUCCAUGGGCUUCGAGAGGUCGUUAAUAUUUCCCCCCAACACUAUGAGGAGGACUUGUGGGCAGAAAGUCAGCUACCACAAACUUGCCUCUGAAUAUUUGGAGUGCAAACAUUGGAUGGUGGUUGUGGAGAGCCCCAGCCAUACCUCGCACCCGUGGAGAGGUAAUUGUCGGAUUGCUUGGUUCGUCUCUAGAAUGCGACAAGGUCAGGCGCCACCUCUCACUGCUGCCAGUCAGAAGGCCGAGGGGCCAGUUUCAACAUAGUAAUGAGAAUCUCCGAAGGCCAAUAUGGUUAAGCAGCUAACCUCCAUGAUCAUAGACUUACGUUUAGAAAAUAGGAGGCUUAGCGAUGCGUUAACAGAGCAGAAGUUAGAAACAGAAGAACUUAAGGACGACUUCCGUGUCCUCCGCCUUGGUCUUUGUGCUAAGAUAAAGCGCUUGUACAAUGCCACGGGGAAUGACGGUCUCUACGAUGCAGCUCAAUAGACGUGCCCCUUGUAUCCUUUCCUUUAGGCACUUUAGAAUAUGUUUAUUUGUUUUCCUUCAUUUUAAUUUCCAAUAGAUUGUUAGCGCCUCCAAUUUAAUUUCAAUAAAGUGUAGACUCACCGGUCAUCCAACUUGAUGGAGUCCUUUUGUCACCUAGUUGUCUUUGGAAGAAGUAGCUGGGUACAAAAUAAGUGUGGGGGAGAGCCACAGACUCUCUAGAGCUGAAACAAUGCACAACACCCACAAAUAGAGAAAACCACGCUGCACCAGCACGUACGUGAAAGUGGAGCCAGAGCUGGACCCAUAGGGGUUUGGCCAACCCAAGGGGUGGCCCACUCGGGCCAUCUUCAUCCACCGCGUCGGUUUGUGUCUCUUUACCCCUGAUCUCCCUGAUUCAUGAGUUUGAAUGAAUUUUAAAUCUGAUCAACUAAUUCAAACUCAACUAAAAUGAAUCAACUGCUCCACCUGCUCUACAUGUUUUCUAUGGUUGGCUUGCAUAUGUUUUAUUUCAUGCUUAUCAUCUUGAUGCUUGUGAACAAAUAUCUUUAGGACAGCAUGCUCAUCUAAGUAGUUGAUGUGUAUGAUAUGGUUCGAUGAUAUGAUCUUCACUCUUAAUGCUUAAGUGCUUGGGAAAAUCUAUUUGAAAAUUUAAAAGCCUUUUUGAAAUCUCCUCUUUGAUGUGCCAAAGUCCUACCAAAGCCAUAUGAUAAGUUAUCUUGAAAAACCAUUUGCAUAUGUUGCUUGUCUUUGCAUUGAGCUUUGUCAAAUUGGUGUGACCCUUGUCACAAUUCUUUUCAUACUUUCAUGAUCAAGACUCAUGUGCACGCCAUAUACCCCUUGCUAUGCUUCUAUGAGAUGUUAGCAUUGUACCAUCCAUUCAUUCCACAAAAUAAAUGCUCCACCAUAUGUGUUGGUCUCCUUCUAAGAUUAUUGUUACAAAAGAGAUAUGGGCUAUCAAAAAAAAAUAUGAAUGUCCAAGAAAGUUGGACACAUGAAUGUCCAAUAAAAAGAAAAAGAAAGAUAGCCAUGUCCUCAGAAAUAUUUACAAAGGGAGAGAGAUCAUACAAAAAGGAGUUUCCAUUCCAUCCACCACAUCCAUACAUGUGCACAUCUUGAUCUGAUUGUAUGACUUAUUUUUCUCUUUGGAUCUGGUCUUUGACUUUGCAAUAUAUGUGAUGCAAGCAUGCCUUAUCCUUCAUAGCCUACCUUGAGCUCCACAUAUAGCCAUCAUUAGAAGUAGGAUGAAGAAAGGCAAGUCUAAUGCCUUGGUGAGGACAUAUACACAUUGAGUGAUCUGAGAGAAUCAAAUGAGGAGCUAAGCAAGGUUUUGUUUUGAAAACUAAUUGAAAAAUCCCAAGCUACUUGGCAUAAGGAGUUGAGGUGACUUGAUUCAAGACCAUUACAUUCCUCAACUACCCAAGAUGGCAUGAUAGACACUCCAAAGUUCACAAGUGCAGGUAUGGUUUGGAAUAUCUUUUAGGCUCGCUUCAUACCUUUGAAAGUUAUGUUUCACCUUAGUCCUUUCUCGUUCACUCAAGGAUAAGCAAAGGCUAAGUGUGGGGGUGUUGUUGAUGGCUCUUAAGUACAAAAUCUGCGCCAUCAACUCUUGCAUAAACACAUAAAAUAUGAGCAUCAACAAUAGUGGUAGGAGUUAUUACAAACGAAUUCCACAAGUCUUGGUGAAUAUUUGUAUGCAAGCCCAAUAGGAGAGAAAAGACACCUCAAAAGCAAGGAAACACACUCUCAACCAAUCAAGAGCAAGCACAUGGAACCAUGGGCCCACAACCAAAAGGAAAUCGACUACAUUCCAAACACCCUAUACCCACAUGAGAACCCAUAGGGCAGUGACCCAGAGCAAAGGUGAUGCCAGAGUGUAGAUGGUAGUUAGCAUGCCAAAUUUUGAACCGCAAGCGCUCGGAUUAGUUGUUUCUUUUCCCUUAGAGAUUCCCCCAAGGUUUAUCAAUCCAUGGAACAAGGGAUUUGCACGUUUCACUAAGCACUAAUCAAUGUAAUUGAAAGCUUUUCGAAUAAGAUAUGAUUAUGCUAACAAAGGAACUAAGCAAUCUAGAUUAAGAUGGAUAGAGAGUACAGGUUGUGAACAAGAUAGAUUAAACGCUUGUAGAUGCAAUCACCAUGCAUGAAUGAAUUAGAUCUAGGUGUUAUUGUGAGUGGUUGUGAACCAUGCCCAACACUUUCCCACCCGCAACAUUGUCACUACAUGUGGGUACUCAACUAUCGGAACAUAAGAACACAUCAAGAUGAUCAUUCUAGGUAAGCAAAUAAGCAACCCAAAGUAGCGCUGGCCAGCCUUUUCAUGAAAGAGCAUCAUCAAGAUAAGAUUGAUAACAAAAUAGAUCUCAACCAAAGGUUCAGCGAUUACAAAUCAAGAUCUUCGUAUAACCCCGAUGACAAAUAGAGGUAUUACCCCCAUGAUCUUACACAUGUUGAUGAAUUUUAGGGUAAAGGACACCCUGUAGAUCAACUGGACCAAAGAUGAUGAUGAACGGGGGCAGGGAAGGCCCAGGUUGAUCAGCCUGCGCACUUUUGAGCCGAUCAGCUCAGGGGGUUUCCUCCUCCCCUGGUGCUCCUCUUCGCGUGGCCUCCUCUGGAUCCAAUCUUCUCUUCAUUUCUCCUACUUGUGGCGGCAAUGGAUGGUGUUUGCAUGGUGAUUUCCUCUUCUCCCCAACUCUCCCUCCUUGAAGUCCAUGAGGGGGUAUUAAUAGUCUCCAAUAGGCGGCAGCUCUGGGUCAAUGUCAGUGAAAAAAUCCUAGAGAUCAUCGUACACUUCAUGCUGAGGAAACAAGAGGUUGACCGAGCCCUGGGAUAGACCAAGAGGAUCAUCCUAGAGGGUCCCAGGCUAAUCGGUCUAGGCCCUUCCUAGCCCUUCUAGUCCUCUCCUUCCUCGUGCUGGCUUUUCUCGAUGACCCUUGUCCAAAUAUCCAUGAAGCUCUAUAUACAUACCCCCUUGAUUAUGUUGUAUUUCCUGUCAAAAUACAAUGCUCCAAAAUACAACACAUAUGCAAUAAUAGGGUUAUUUCAGGUGCCAAUUGGUGGGUUAGUAUACGAAUAAGCAUGAAAAUACUGUUUAAAUGACACUAAAAGUGUGUCAAUAACGAGCACCAACAAUCCCCCCACGCUUAGAUCUUGCUCGUCCUCGAGCAAGUCUAGCGACUAAAAGAUCUUGAAUUAAACCUGAGCAAGCGAGUCAAGUACCUAGCCUUGAAACAAAAGAUUAGAGGAGCAGCAAAGAUAAUCAAAGUCUGGGUGUUCAAAGAUUUAUCUAAGCAAAGAUUCCCCUACAACUAUUAUUCAGAACCAAGUAACUUCAAAAAUCAACUACACUUAUUUUCUGGCUUUUUUCAGAGGGUUUUUCUUUCAUCAUAAAACAAUCUCCCUGCAACAAAAUUGAAAAAAGAAUUAUUUUCAAGGUGCUUACAUGUCGCUUAAAUGAAUGUUGGCUAUCCUACUUAUUUGCAAGCUCUCAUCUCUCAAAAUUCAUUCAAUUAUAUGGUGGAGUUUGGGUAAGGUUAGCUAGAAUCAACACGUAUAUUAUUGAAUUAAGAAAACCCUCUAACGGUGGCCUACCUUCCGAGCCAUUGAUCAUAAGAAUAUCCACAUAAUGUGAAGUUUUCAAGGAUGAGAAGAUAUAGAAUGGUGGACAUGUGCAAAGGCAAAGAAAUAUAGUGACUCUGAGGCACAAGCAAUGUCCUCGUCGUUGGAUUGCAUAUGGUUGUAAUGAAAAUAUGUUCCUUAAACAAGUCUAUCUUUUCUUUGCACCACUCUUGAUCUUCAUGACAGUAAAAACUCCUCCUUUAUUUCUUUCUCUCUUUUCCUAUUAUUUCUUUUUAUUUGUCUCAAUACUUUUAUUUCUUUAUUUCUUUAUUUUAAUCUCUUCUCUGAACCUCUUCUGAACACCACAUAAUAAAAAUAAGUUUUAGAUCCUUCCAGAGACCUUCCAGGAAUUUGCUACAUGAAAACCGAGGCAAGGAGACCCCAGGCCGAUUGGCCUAGCCACUCCUUUGCUCUCCUCUAGCUCUUCUUUCUGGUGAAGCUUCCUUAUCUUGUAUCUUUCCAAAAAUUUCAUAAAGCUCGACUAGAAACGGAACAGAUCUUCAUAUAAUGAGUUGUGUUCAAGGAAUUGGUAAUAAAAUUGAGAAAUUUGUGGUUCGGGUUUACGAAUUCAGUACAAAAAUAUGAUUGUUCCAAUGAAGAACUCUCAUUACUGAAUAUUGACGAGGCAAGCAUUCAAAGAUGGUAAAAAGGAUAUGAUCAAUUCUCAAAAUUAAAGCAAACCAAGAGAGAGCGAUCCUAAUUCAAUUCAAAGUGUCAAAUGUUGCUUAUGGUGGUAUGAAUAAAUAUUUUUAGGCAUUGGGUAGGAUAAAUAAAAACUCUCAACCUGGUUAAAAGAUAUUGAUCAAUCUUGUUUUUGCAGAGGUUUUAAAUAAAAAAUAAAAUUUUAAAUCACCUCCAAUUCAAAGCCUUACUCAUAAAUCAUAAUCAAAACUGAAGCACUUGAUCAUCAUAAAGCAUGGGUAUUGCAUAAACAAAUCGAUUACUAAAACUCCACAACUACGAUUUAGAAUUCAAGACAAUGCUCAUAAUCUAAAGUUGCAAAGAUAAAAUAAAAGACAACCAAGCCAAGGUAGACACUAAAAACACUUGCACGAUCCUUGAAUUUUAUUCAUGCUUCUUCUCACAAAGACGCUAAAGUAGCCAUGUAGGCCUAAGUCUUCCCAAAAGCUUAAGAAAACUACUACUUUAUCUACUUUUGGUUGAAAUAAAAAGACUAAUCUAGACUCUCACAUGAUUCGACUCGACCAAAUUAGAUCCAAAAACUCAUACGAGCGACGAUCUCCCCCCCCUCACGCUUAAAAUCUACGACCUCCUCGUCGUAGCCAUAUGGAGUACAAGGAAAAGAAGCUUGUAAACGCUCUAAUGACGCUACCCGCACUACUUGCACACGGGAUGGUUGCUGCUUCCUUCGCUUUGUUCUUCCUCAUGUUGCUGCACAUCCCGAAGAGCUUCCUCACGUUCCUCUGCAAGAACUUGAACUCGUCCUCCUGACGGCGAUCAUUAUCUUCUGCCUUUUGAUCCAGAGCUUGUAAGGCUUGCAUGAUGUCAUCGAACGCAUCGAAGAGGUAGUGGAUGUUCUUCCUGCAAGCUGUGGAACAUGUACGAUCAUGCUCCUCCGAUUCUGGCCCGUCGUCUUCUAGAUCCUUCUCUUUGCCCUUGUCUUGACGGUGGCUAUCUUGCUCCUUGCUCGCCUUCUUGCCUUCAGCCCAAUCCCAGUACGUGUUGUCAUCUUCUUCAUCGUCACGGCCUGCAGCACCCUAUGAUCCAUUGUCUAUCUUGUAUGAAAGAAUCAGAAGCUUGUUCUCCUCAGGGUGUCUUGCGCGGUGCAGCGUUUGCAAGUGCAAGACUUGCUAGUUCCUUUUACACAUUGUAAUGUUCAUUGCAUGCUCUAAUUGUUCUACAUUUGUAAUUUCUUGGUGAAGUUUGGUUACUGAUCCACUGUUUGAUUAACUCUUGGGCCCAAACACUGUACUACUUCUGAUUAGAUAUCUGUAUCUUGACUUUGACCAAAAAAAAUAUCCGGCAGUUUUUGCCAUUAAAGUUUCAUAAAUCAUCUUGCAAAAAUCGUACUAUACAACAAGGGACGGUUUAUUAUAAAAUAUACGUUCCCCUUAUCACAUGCCACUUCCACUCAAAAGGCAACGAAUCAGUUUUCAAUCCUGAGUGAGCAAUUUGCUUUUAUUACCGAUGCCUCCUAUUCCCUUGUGCACCAAGUUUAUUUUGGAUAGGGCUGCAAAAAACGACUAACCAGCUCGGAUUCUCCACCUGCAAAACCGCAUCUGCAGCAACCAACCCCACGCGGUGGAAAAAAAAACAAAACCUAGAAACCGGACGGGGGUGGAUGUGGGGCUCGGAGCCCAAGCAAAAAACGGAUCGGGAGCGCCGGAGCAGGCCAUCACCGGAUGUUAGAGAUAGAAAAUGGUUGAAGUUUGGAGUGGAAAUCAAACAAGCCUUGGAGCAAAGGAAAAAAAAAGAUCAAACCACUCAAGCAUUCAUUUGAUUUAGAAAAGAGAACAUUUGUUAAGGUGGGGAGUUGAAAUCAUCUUUUAAUUAGUUCCACGUAUCUGGUAUCAUUACAGUUGGUUUACUUGUGUAAGUAUAAGUAGCUCUGCCGAAGCCUUUGCUCCUAUAAUUUAGUAACUAGUACAAAUGGAUCAAUAGGAAAAUCAAGUUGCAAUCAUUUCUCAGCCAACCAAACCUAUGUAAAUCAAAUUAUUGUCCAUGCCCGGCAUGCACAGGUGCCUGCCAUGCAUGCAUUGUUGCUCCAUUGUAAUAACCAUUAUUGUCCAUCGAUGUUGCAGCGCAUGUGUGCACUGUGCAGACACCAAGCAUCGAGAUUAUGUACUAGUAAGGUGUUGAAAUAAUGGGCCUAGCCCAUAAGUAAUUUCAGAAUUUCAAAUAAAUCUCAAAGGCCCAUGUGGGCAAGAGGUGGAGUGGUGCAAGUCUUUAGUCCCACAUUGCUAGUCGAGGGGAGGGAUGACCAACUUAAAUAUGGAAGUUGUCUCCACUCCUCCAAGCUAUGUGUGAAGGGCGCGGGCGCGAGGCACUUGCGUGAAUGGUCCGCCGAAAUCUGGCCCCCCUUGCGGGGGCGCGGCUUCCUUUUGCCGUUUUAUUUUUUGGUUACUUGGUCGUUAAGUCAUGGAAUCCUAACCGGUUUAGAUCACGAUCGUGAAGGUUUUUGGGAAGCGCUCUGCGCGACUGCUCGAUCGCUUCUUCCGCUUCGUCAAGUUCUUCGUCGACUCCUUCACCACGGCUCGUCUACCUCUUCGUCGCUCGGGCCUCACUCGUCGUCGCGAACAACGUCAGGCUGCUGAUCGUCGUCGCCUGCUGUAUCCGGUAGUCGUCCAGGAGCCGGUUUUCAUCAAGAAAGAAACGUACGGUCUCUUAACUCACAUUAUGUCUUCCAUACUAGCUAUUAUGAUUGUUGCAGUCUGAUAGCUCUGGAUAGUAUGGUAGAAUGUCUGAUUCUAUUUGCAAUGAUAGACUUGUCUAGAUCUUGCGUAGACAUGUCUAGUUUAAUCUGCUGCUUGUUCAUCAUAUUCAUGAUUUAUUUCUGGAUUAAGUUAAAACUAAAAGUGCUUAUAUAUCCAACAUAAGGUACCAAGAACACGUGAAGCACCCGGGGGAGGCUGCUCCACUCCGCAUGCACAGGUGGGCACGGCACCACUACUCGUCUCCUUCAGGCUGAGGAUAAGUGAUGUACGCUGAUCAACAGACCACGACGGAACCAGCAAUAAUAGUUUCAGCCUGCCUCACAGUAAUUAAUAUAUCCUGUAUCCUCCGAGGACCCCUCCCCUUAAUCUUGGCCUAUUGCAUCCAAUAAUGAUAUGUGUGUUUAUCCAAAUUUACGGCACCUUUGGCGGGGGUUCCACCCAGCUCCGCCCUCUCCACCUUCGGUACUCCAUGGGAAACCAUUCCUUUGGAAUCAAGGAAGCUUGAACAGUAUAACGAAUAAAGUUUCAUAUAUCCAUUUGAUUUCACAUGAAAUAAAAUAUUCUGUCAGAACCAAUGGUUUCACUGAAGCUCCAGGCAGCGAGCGAAGGGGUGAGAGAGGAUAACGCUUACUGUGUGUUACCAUCGCGUGCACCAUGGAUGACCAACGCGCAGCCGAGAUGAAACGGCGGACCUAAACAGGUCCUCGCUAUUUUUGCAGGUUCUCGACCAGGCCAGUUCUUUAGGCCAACCUAUCAUUCACGAGUUAAACAUACGGUGGCUGGAGAAAUGUUCUAUUCUUUUAAACAAUACCAGCUGGUUCCUCCGUUUUUAUUCCACCAAUACAAGCACCACCUUGUAACAUUUCCUAUGUUUUUUUUCCUUUCGUCUGUUUUCUCACUACAUGCGUUGCUCUUUCAUGCAUUUUUUUCCAUUCCUGUAUUCCAAAUAGGUCUACAUGAACACAAAAUGAACUAGGGGACAGAAAAAGCCAGUGAAGUUAGUUUUGAGCUUCACCAGCUACUUGCUACAUAAAGUGUGCUAUAGUCGCAGAAAAGCUAAGCUGGAUCAGACGUGGCCGAAACAAUGCCAAAGAGCUAGGUCCCUAGCUGAUGGCAACACAUCAGAUGACUAGCCUGCUUUUCUGUAAUAAUGAUAUUGAGCAAUACACUGCAUGGCUAACCUGCUUUACAAUAAUUGUCAUUUUAUAAUAUUGGUCAUCACGAGAGAUGCACAUUGCAUACACCGGCCCAUCCCUAUAAAUAGCCAAGCCUUUCAGCCAUCUUGGGCACCUCCUCUCAGGGCCUCGUCUCACCAUCAGACAUCUCGUUCCCAGUUAUAAUUUGCGAGGUUAGAUCAGGCUGCGCCAUGGCGUCCGCAACUGCUGUCAAGAUCGUCGCCACCUUCAUGCUGGUGCUGACCAUGGGCCACCUGAUGGCCGAAGCAUCACCGCAGCCUCGGCGUGUGCUUGCAGAAACGGAGCAUGCUGCGGUGUCCGGGAAUCCUGGCCUCCCAGGUGAUGCUAGCGUCAUGCAGGUCCUCGAACCCGCCCUAGUUUCUCGGCUUGCCUGCAAACCAGAGUGCACAGUCCCUUGGCCUCCUUUUGUAUGUAUCUGCUAGAUCCUCUUCCUGGCUCAACGGAACUUCAGGGAAAUGGCUGUGACGUCGGCCAAAGAAUAAAUUGGAUGAACAUAAUAUACCCCGGGUAGUGUAGCUUGGGCUUUUGUUGAGCGUCUGGUGCUAGUUGUAUUUUGUUUGCUCAUGUGGCUUUGCUUCUGGUUGCAUAUUGGCUUUCCUAUCGCUCUCUGUUGCAGCUAUGGUUUCUGCCAGGUGUGUGUUAAUGCGGUUUGUAAGCGGUGCUUGUUCCUACCUUCUGUUUUCAAUAAAAGAAGUCGGAGUCUCCCUCCGACUCUUGUUAUCAGUCAACAAAAAUGAGUUGUAUCAUAUAUAUCUGCGUCUUUUUUCUACGUAUCUUUGGGCUGCUUCAGCUGGAAGUUUAUCGUAAGUACGUGUAUCAGGAUGAUCGUUUGAAUUAAAACGAAAUGAUAAUGUGUGGCUGCUAGAAAUGGAAUGAGCAUCUUACUAUAUUACUAAUUGGAAGCCUCCACGUGAAGCCACCUAGAAAUUCUAGGUGGACGUUUUAAAAAAAACAAAACUCAUAGAAGCCUCCACCACCUAGGAAUCCUAGGUGGACACUCUAAAAAGAGACAAAUCCUAGAAAUUCUAAAAAAAGAAAAAAAUAAUAACAAUAAGAUUUUUUUGCAGUCAAUUACAUAUAUUUUUUUGAGACACCGUGCUGCUAGCUCUUGCCAUUGCGACCAGUAAAGCAAGCAGAUAGUAAGAUGACAUGCGUGUGGAUUGAUUAAAACAAAUUCAGUUAGUUGAUUCUAAAUCGUAUGUAUCCUAAAAGGAAGAUAUGUGCGUGCAUGGUCCCUAGCGAUGACAUGUAGACAUGUAUUGCAAUUUCUUUUUUAAAAAACAUGUCUAUCUCUAAACCAACAAACAGAAAAAAUAUCAAUCUAAAUCUAAAUCUCUUCCGUUCUCACACGCCUAUUAAAGAGAAGACAACCAAUCCCAUCCAUGUUCCAUAGAAUCCAUCUAAAAGCUUGCUCACUGCGGACGGCAUUUGACGGCAAAUCAAUGAAAGAUCAUCCUCUCCAAAUAGCUGGACGGCAUCACCAUCUUUAUCUCACCAACCUACAGAGCUACAACGAUGUUGUAGAGAUCAACUAGGUAACCUACCAAUCACCCUCCCCUUUUCUAUAUGCUCUAAAGAACACGUGGAGUAAUUAUAGGCCUAUAGGAGCCGACUAACCUAGAUUAAUAUGAAAAAUAUUCCAAUAUUAAAAGCAAGCAGAUAGUAAUACUUGCCUUUGACCAUUUUUCUAGAACUGUUAUUCCUAUUGAAUGUUCAAGUGCUACGGCCAGGCAUCGAAUGCCUGCACGGAACCUUCCUAUUGAAUGGUUACUCUAGAGAUCAACGCACCGCGAGACAUUUUUAUGGAAUUUGUUUGAUUCCCCUUCUACAAUUAGAUUAAUUUUUCAUGGCAUAUAUUACUACUAUUAAAUUAUUUGUUUAUUGUCGGGCCUGCUGCAUGUGUGGUAUAUAUGACUUGCUUCUCACCAUUGUUCUCAAACUAUUAUUCCUAUCGAAUCUUUCUAUCGAAAUAUAUUUUAAUUACUUGAUUGUUGUUUGUGUACCAUAACUUCUGUAUAGAAAAAUUCCAUGUUUGUAGAUAAUGUCUUUUGUAUAGAAAAAUAGCCCAAUUAGAUCCAUCACCAUCUUUUGCUUAUGUAGUUGAACAAGUUGCAAUGUUGAACAAAACUUUAAGUGAAAUUAGACCAGGAAAAGGAAUUGUGGAACAUUAAGGCAAGGGUAACCAGAUUGUGGAAUGCAACCUUACUCAGUAGUGGCGAACAAUUAAGUCUUGACAUGAUCCUUAUUGAUCAAAAGGUAUGAUAGAUGUUCACUUUGAUUGCAUUAUUGGUAUAAUUUUUGGUUUACAAAUUAUUAAUGAUGAUGCAAAAUUAGGGAACCAUGAUCCACGGUGUUAUCAAUAAGCCCUAUAUGAAAAAGUUCAAACCAUUGAUUGAAGAAGGCAAUGUGUACAUAAUUGCAAAUGUCAGAAUCACACCAGAACCACAGAAGUAUCGGCCAGUGGAAAAUGACAGGAUAGUCAACUUCUUACCCACAACUGCACUAAAAACGAUCAAAGAUACUGAAGACAUUCCAAAGUAUAGUUUUAACUUCAUGAGCACGGAUAUGCUUUCAGCAAGAAUAAAUGUGGACAUGUACCUAUUAGGUAAAACAUUACUGGCUUUUCAAUUUUUACACUUCCACUCAUUAAAUGACCAUCUAAUAAUAAUACAUAUUUAUGUUUCAUAGAUGUUAUAGGUAUCUCAGCUCACAUUGGACCGAUAGAAGAAACAAGGACAAACUUCGGAUUUACUAAAAUCCGUGAUAUUGUGCUCCUGAUCGAGUAAUUCUCUUUUCUUUUGUAGAAAACAACUACAAAACUUUCAACAUUUACAUGUAUGUUAUAGAACUUCUGUUGAACUAAAAAAUAUCUUCUACAGUGCCCCUACAAAUAAUUAAUUUCGUAGUUGGAUAUUUAAAAUAUUUAUUAUUCACUUUUAAAUUUGUGGCCAUGAAGUUAAAGUUAGAUUUUGGGGAGACAAAGUUGAGGAAGUUGAUGAUAAGACAAAAUCCCAUGUCAUUGCAAUAACAUCUACAACUGUGAGUAAAUUUGGCAGUAAGUCUUCAUUCAAUAUGAGUUAUUCAAUAUUAGUCAUUCAACAAACUAACCUCGUAAGAAAAAUAAAUAAUUGAUGUUUUAUCAGGGUAUUCUCUAUCGUCAACCAAUGCAACAAAACUUUAUGUAGAUCUACCUAUUCCUGAAACUAAGGAUGCACAUGAUAGGUGAGAAAAAUUAGAUAUUGUUUUUCUAUUUUAAUCUAUGUAGCAUGCACUCUAACAUGAUACAUUCUUUCAUAUGAUAAAAAAAUGUUAGUUCAAUUGAAAAUAUUGUCAAAGAGAUUCAUAUUGAGGACCAUCUAAAAGGGACAUUGGAAGACCAAAUGCAGUACAAUAGAAGAACUUUAGAAGAAUUAAAUUUCAUAUUAUUUGAAACAUCAAAUCAGGUAUGGAUUAGUAUGUUCAUUGUACACUAUACUAUUUAAAGACUUACAUACAUAAUGAUGGUAUUGUUCCUACUUUCAGGAUGAGGUAUUUACUAUUGAAGCAACAAUAAAUGAAAUUAAUGCAACAUAUGGUUGGUUGUCACACCCGAUUUUAAGGACAAAAUUGAGUGCAUUAAAUACAUGUGCACCAGGAUCAAGUUACACACAUCCUAUGAGUACCGUCCUUCUUUGGCACAAAGAUAACCGGUGCUCCCCAUGGUGAUGAACUAGGCCGAAUAAACUAUUUUGCUGAUAAUUCCUCUAGUUGUUGUUUCAAUUCUUUUAAUUGUUCAACCAACAUUCUAUAAGGACGUUUGGAGAUAGGUGCAGUACCAGGUAAAAGAUCAAUAGCAAAUUCAAUGUCGCGGUCAGGUGGCAUACCUGGUAAAUCGUCGGGGAACACAUCCGGAUAGUCACACACCACUUUGAUAUCUUCCAAGGAUUUUCCAGCCAACUGAUUAACUGCACAAUCUGCUGCUGAGGGUAGAGUAGCUACAAACUCCACUUUCUCUCCAUCAGGACCUGUUAGCAGAACUGUCCUCUUGGCACACUGAAUCGUUGCAUCAAAAGCGGCUAACCACCUCAUCCCCAGAAUUACAUCGAUUCCACUGGACUCAAGGACGAUAAGAUCAGCCGGAAACUCUAUACCCAUUAUUCUCAGUUUAACUUGUGGACAGAUGUAUUGAGCCUUCAUUGACCCCCCAGGUGAACUCACUAGCAUAUGACGCCUCAUGGUAUGCAUGGGUAAAUUAUGCUUUGCUACAUAAUGACUAGUGACAAAAGAAUGCGAUGCUCCAGAGUCAAAUAAAACUGAUGCGGGGGCAGAGUUGACAAAGAACAUACCAAGCACUACAUCUGGAGCCUCCUUAGCAGUCUCGGCUUCCAUGUGGUUCACCUUGCCACAAACAAAGCUUUGCUGCCCCUGAUUGCCUUGUGGGGUCUGGUUCCCAUUCCUCGGUUGCUGCAUCUGAUUCUGCCGAGGAGCACUGCUGUUCUGCACGGGGGUAGCUGGCCCACCUCUCUUAGGACAAGAGCUGGCAUAGUGACCAACCUCGCCACACUUGAAGCAGGUAGGACCCACUGGAGCAUUGGGCCUUGUUGGAGUGCCAGUAGGGGUCAUCUGGCGGUUCUGCGUAAAGCUUGGGCGCGGAGUCUGCAUAGUCUGCAUCCCUGGAUGCUGGAACUGAGGGCUAGGGCGCUGGAAUGACUGCUGAGCAGGGCGCGGAAAUGAGUGCUGCCAAAAAUUCCCACUCGGGCCCCCUGCGCGGAACGGCGUCCCUUGCUGUGGAGCAAAGCGAGGGCGGGUGUUGCUUCCUGAAGACUACUGGGAAUUGAAUUUCCUCUUCAUCUCCCCGAGCUCGUUCCUCUUGUGUUCCAGGCCAAUUGCCUUGUCUAGCAUCUUCUGGAAACUGGGGAAGGUGUGCGACAUAAGCUGAUAUUGGAGUGGUCCAAUCAACCCAUCCAAGAAUAGCUCCUGCUUCUGCUCAUCAUCAGCAACAUCUUCGGGAGCAUAUCGGGACAACUGGACAAACUUGUCCCUGUACUCUGCCACUGUCAUGUUCCCCUGCUUGAGAGCAAGGAACUCCUUCUUCUUAAGCUUCAUCAAUCCGGAAGGAAUAUGAUGACUUCUGAAGCUAGUCCUGAAUUCAUCCCAGGUGAUGCCAUUAGCAUUGGCAUGGGUGGUGGUGUAAGCAUCCCACCAAUCAGCAGCUGGCCCUUCCAGGCGUCCUGAAGCAUACAGGACCUUCUCCCUGUCAGUACAUUGGGCGAUAUCCAGCAUCUUCUCCACUGUUUUCAGCCAAUCAUCAGCAUCUAAUGGAUCCGGAGAAUGUGAAAACGUCGGGGGCUUGUGGCUCAUGAACUCCCUAUGCCUGUCCCUUGGCGGCGGCUGCUGCUGGUUGUUGUUGUUGUUAUUGUUCAGCUGAGCUUGUAAAGCUGCCACGGUGUUGGUCAGUCCGGCGAGAAGCUGAGUCUGAGCUGCUAGAAACUGCUCCAUCCCUGCAGGUGCUUGUUGGUUCUGUUGCGGAGCGGUGUUGGGAUUGCUGCUGUUGUCCCUGUGGCGUGGCACUGUGGGACGGUCAACUCCUGAUCCGGACCUGGUGUUUACCAUCUGAGCGUUAGAGACAAUGGAUUUAGAUAGAUGUGUGAAAGAAUAACUGAGAAAGAUAAAGCGACCAGAUGUAAAAGUAACACAGAUUCUGUUAGCUCCAUUUAAUUAGGUGUGGUCGUCAGAAGAAGUGUCCAUAAAUUCUGAACAAUUACCAAGUCGUAACUUAUUAAAUUUGUAAACCAACCCAACUGGAAUCAUCUCAAUCGGACUUCUGGAUCUCGAGUUACAAAAUUAACAAGCUGACAGUGUCGGUCGAUAGGUUCAGAUUCUGAGUGCUUUACUAAUUCGCAUACACCUCCCAGACAGAUACACCAAAAAUUCUGAAAAAUUUACAGAUAGUACUCCACGAAAUUCUGAAACUAACCCCACUGGUUUCAUGUCAUUUGGACUUCUGUAGCUAGAGAUAUAAAUAAAAAAGUACUGGCGUGUCAGUUAAUGUCGAGAACAGAAUUGAAUGUCGCUUAGCUUGCGUGAUGGAUAGAUUUAGACAGAUGGUAGAUCAUGAUUAAGGAAGAUUAAAUACUGAUUUAGAACAGAAAUAAAACCCAACUAAGCACUUUAUUUAUUAAGACCAGUAUCGUGUGGCAAUUGCCCCACAUACCGCACUCAUUACAAAAUCCAACUCAAACAUGUAGCACAAAACCAAUCAUCUAAGCACACUUUAACUAACACACUCGAACGACGUCUAACGAUUACAAGAAUUUAAACUAAAACACUCCUAAUUUCCUAGAGGUCUUCUGCGGCGGUGCCGGGCGAGUCGUAGCGGGGACGCUUAGGCGACGGCGACGAAGCGGGAUGAACAGCAAACUCCUGCGGCGGCGGUGCUCCCGUCGCGGCAGCCAUAUUCGCAUCCCUCUCCCACCGGAGUUCCUGAACCUCCUGUUGAAGCUCCUGGAUGUGGUUGUUUGCUUCAUUCAAUGCGGUGAGAGCUGCCGACGUGUACUUGCGGAGGAAGUCUGUAGCCAUGUCAACCCCAUCGUUAGUAGCGAUGAAGGUUCUUGCUUCCCCACUAGCUCGGUAAGGAAGGAACCGAUGGUAAGUGUGCUGCAAUCGCGGCCGUUCCUUGUGGGAGACGACCUCAAGUGCCCUCCUGGCGGCCUCGGCAAUGCCGGAUUCCAUGGUCCUCCUUAUGGUCACAUCAUGGUGAAAAGCCUUCACCUCCCAUCCUCCCUCGUGCUCCUCACGAAGGACAACCUUCACCUCCCAAAAAGUGGGAUAGCGAGGGUGGGUGAACCGGGAGCACUUGUAGAGUGGCCUCAUGCCGUACCCCAAGCGGUGACAAGUCCACCUGAGUAUGUCGGCCAUGUGCACUCCUUGGCCAUAAUCUUCCUUCACCCAUUUGAUCCAUGUCUCGGGCUCGGGAUCUGCUUCGGGCUCAUCAUCCGUCAAGUCGACGACCGGUACGGGCGUCGGGGCUGGUGCAGGAGCGGGCGCCGGUGCUGGCGACGGUGCUGGUGACGGCGUGGUCUCCUGCUCCACGGUCACGGCGUCCCCGUCAGAGUCAUCCCCCGGAUGCUGGAAGAUCUCUUCCUCUUCUUCCUCGUCCCAAGGCUCCAUGGGGGCGUACGACGGCGCGAUGCCAUGACGCGGCGGACGGGUGCUCUUGCGUGCGGUCAACCGGGUGCGAGCCAUCUAACAGAAAGAAAGAAGAAAAUUUUAGAAUAAAAUUUUGAACAAAGCUAGAUAAUAAAAUAGCAAUAAGGAUGAGACAAAUCAAGUUUAAGAAUAAUUAAGUAGAUUUAAAUUAAGAAAGGUAGGAAUGGCUACUAGAUUAUUAUAAUCCUUAAAUACGACCAUUUUCUAACUAGGCUAACGUCCUACAGUCAACACGGCUCUGGUACCACUUUUGUCACACCCGAUUUUAAGGACAAAAUCGAGUGCAUUAAAUACAUGUGCGCCAGGAUCAAGUUACACACAUGUACGACAAUAGUGAAUAGUAAAGCCAGUGCUAAAUCGAAUAAAGAGAGUAUUAACCAUUAUUACAUGACCGAAUGUCUCAAAUAAACCACAAAGUCUAAUUAUUACGCAGCGGAACUCCAAAGAUGACGACGACUCCAUAGGCAGCUGACUGAAGAAACGUACGCCUAGAACUCCUCGAAGUCGUGGAAGUACUCCUCUUCCCAAUUAACUUGGUCUGAACAGCGGUUUUGCAAGGGUGAGUACACUUAUGGUUGGUACUCAACAAGUCGUGGGAAGUAGUGUAGUGUAAGGCUAAUUCAAGGUAUGGCUAAGGCGUAAAUAGCAUUCGCUUUUAAUUAAGUUGGUCAAAUUUUAUUAGCAUUUACUAAGUAUAAGUUCAUACCACCCGAAAUUAAACAUGAACAUAAAGUAAACCACAUGUGCAUGAAAUGAUAACAAAUUAAAUCCAUCUUCCGAUAAUAUUAUCAUGUGAGGGUCCAGGCCGCUCUUAACCGUGAGCACGGCUGAUUGAUCAGUUUAACACUCUGCAGAGGUGGCACAUCUUUACCCACAAGUCGCGUAAAAGUUCAAAAGAACUUUGGACCCAACCAUGCGGUGUUUGCAAGGCACCAUACCACACUUCCGAGGUGUGAUUGCAUAGGGACGCUACGAGGCCUUUACAAAGAUUCAUUAAUCAGUGGUAACCCGCUAAGGUUUCGGUGUCUGGCGUGCACCACCCAUCCCAGGUAAAAUGCAACGACUCAGUCCCCCCCCUUGAAUCAUCACGAGUAAGGUCACCCCAGACUAAGGUUUCUAAUUAAUCAGCCAAGACCAGAGCUAUUUAGUCUUGUGGUAGCACUGUUUUCCUGGGUGGUCGCUCCAUGUUCUGAUUAACAAAUAAUGAUCUUGUCUUAAUGAAAGGUAUAACAGAAAUAAGGCAAGAUUAAGCAUUGUUUUUAGUUAAACCACCAUGUACCAAGUAAGCACUAAGCAUGAGCUACCCAACAUAAAGUAAACCGGUUGGUCAAGGCAAAGGUAAAACAAUCUAGGCCAACCUUAAUUGGGACCCAUCAAUUUAAUCUUAAUAUGUGCACAGCAUAAAUGUUGAGUACGAGAAAGUAAAGGUGUAUAGGACAAAAAGGUAGUGAUCAAGGACACGACUUGCCUUCUUGGCCUUGCUCCUGCUGUUCGUACUCCUCGAAGGCUUGAUCGGCAACUCCCUCGAACUGCGGGGCGUCUACACGCAUCACACGAGCACAUACAAGCAAACAUGGGCAAAAGUAAGAAAACAGUAUACCAAACAUAGUCAAACAGAGAAAACAAGCUUGAAAAGAUGAUCUACGCUUUAAAACGAACACGCGGAUAUAAAGAACGCGAAAAACGGAGUUAAGAUGCAAAAGAUAUGAUUAAAACAAAAUCCAGGGACUUUUCUGUAAGAAAAACAAAACUUUUAGGGCCUAUCCGCGAAAACCGAGGGCUUAUACGUAAUUAUGCGUAUAAACCGAGGGUCUGAUGCGUAAAAACAUCAAACCCGGACGGCGGGUUGAUUUCUGGAAAGGUCAAGGGUUAAACCGAAAAAUGCGAGGGCAGAUCUGUAAAUACUUUCAACGCGAUCUGGACCGCGGGUUGAUUUGCGAAAAAGGCGGGGGCUAAAGUGCAAAAACUGCACGGCGCGGCUCGGUUGACCGGUACGCGAUCUUGAUUGACUCGCGUCCGGCCGUCGGAUUAAGAUCCGACGGUCGCGGUGAUCCGCGACAUCGCGGCGGCGGCGGCGAGCGGCGGCGAGCGGCGGCAAGCGGCGGCGGGUCGCCGGAGUUAGGCAAAAUAGCGCCACGAGGCACGGUUUAACGCGCGGGUUGCACCAAAAAAGAGAGGGGAACACGUCGAUCCCGUUUUGGGGGUUCUUGUCGACGGGGGCUCACCGGCGACGGCGAACGGCGGCGAGGAAGAGGCGGCGGCGCUAGGAGCUCGGGCGGCUAGGGUUUCGGGGAGCUGCGGCGCUGGUUUUGGGCGGAGGAGACUGGGAGGAGGCGGCGGCUUUUAUAGGGCUUGGAGAUAGAGCCGGCGCGGGUUCAAAUCCCCCGGAGGAGUCGGAGCGGAUGGAGUCCGGGGCGGAGACGGCGCGCGGCGGUUGCGGAGUUCUGACCGGAUUCGGCCGGAGGUGGGAGACGAUGGGUGGGGUCCACCCGUCAGUGGCGGAGGGGAGCGGUAGACGGGCCGGCGCGACCGUGGGCUGGCGCGCGCUCGUGGGCUGCGGGGAGCGGGAGAGAAGCGGCGAGCGGGCGCUGGCGGAGCAGGCCGAGCGGAGGUAGAGCUGGGCCGCGGAGAAAAAGGAGGAGGCCGGCGGGCUGCUUCGCAGGCCGGUAAGGAUGAGGCGGCCGGGCCGAAGAAGAAAAAGAAAAGGAGGGACAAGGAGCUUUCGGCCGAGGGAAAAGAAGAAGAAAAAGAAAAGGAAGAAGAAAAGGGAAAAGGUUUUGGAAUUUGAAUUUAAAUCUGAAAUUCAAAAUUUGAUUCAAACUCAAGCAACCAAAAAUUAUGCUCCAGCAUGAAUGCACAAAUAAUUCCUAUGAUGAAUUAAUUGAAUUAAAGAAAAUGAAUUUAAAUGCCUAGAAAUUAAAUAACACCCUAAUUUGAGCAAAUUUUAAUGAAUUUGAAUUAUUGAAAUUUUGGGUGUUACAUUGGUACUACAUCUCAUGUAGUAGAGGCGAUUGUAAGAAGCAACUUGAAAAGAAGUUUGAUCACUACUAUUGCAAUAAAUGUGACAAGAGAGCCGAACCUAAAGCCCAGUAAAUUAUUUAGUAGUUUACAAUCUUAUUAUAAUACUUCUAUUUCUAAUAGGAGAAUAAUAUUUUCAGAUUCAAAUUAAGCUUCAAAUAAGUGAUCCAACAACAAGUGCAACUUGUGUACUUUUGACAAGGAAGCAGAAAUGAUAAUUAAUGAAUGAGCAGAUUCGAUGAUCACCUCAGUUGAUCAUGAUAAUAAGUAGCUACCAAAAUCAAUUCAGGAAAUAUGUGAAGAAACAUUGAUUUCUCAAUUCAGAUUGACCGAGUACAACUUGACAAGUUUUAGACCUGAUUAUACUGUUUCAAAGAUAUUUUUUCCAAAAGAAAAGGGCAGUUCAAGAAUUGGUAUGGAAAGUGUAAAAAAGGUAACACUUUAUUAUUAAUUUUUUAUUGCACUUUUUUCUUUUGAAUCCGUAAUACUUAAUAAUUUUACUAUAUCAAUGAAACAAAUUCUAACCUAAAUUUAUUUUCUUUUUUAUUAUUUGUAGGAAGUAGAAGACAACUCAGACAAAUGCUACACGAUAACUACCGAGAAUGAAGAGGUAGACACUGAUGACUCUUUUACCGAGAAAGUAACAUUCGUAGAAGAAGCCAUAAGGACUGGGGAAAGAUUGGCUAGAAAAGUAUACUCACUUCCAUGUCAGUGUUCAUUCUAUUUACAAUACAUGCAAAAAAAAUAUUAUUCAUGCAAAAUUGCAGGUCUACUAAGCAUUAAAGGAAUAGCGGAUAGUGCAAUAUGUAAUCUGAGCAGCAUGCAUUACAAAGUGCUCUACUGCAAUUAAAUUAAAAAACAUGAUAUAUGUUGAAUUCUUAGACUUUAUUAUUAUACUUUUCUACGUGACAAUUCACAAUUUUUUAGAAAAAAGAAGAUCCCAGAAGAAGUGACCAUGAAAAAAGGUCUAUGACCAGCAAUAAGAAAAAAUGCAAGCAUAGAAACAAAUCCGUAGAAAACAUAGAAAAUAAGGUACUCCAUAAACAAAAGUAUUCUCUUAUAUUUUUAUUAAAUAUUUUUUUAACACUUGACAAGUUCUUUUUUAGGAUCAAUAUAUCAGCAAUUCAGAUGUCAUUGGAGAUGAAACCUUAGUUCAUCCAAAAGGUCAAAAAAAAACAUCUGAAGAAAGGUGUUUGGCUGAAAAGGAAAAGCAAAAAAGUGGUAAUGCAGACAAACACAUGCAGAAAAAUAUAAAAACAUGUCAUAGGGAGGCAGACCAAUCUUGCAAGGAGGUAUAGACGAAACGUGAUACACGACCUGCCUACCUUGUCGUGGAUACCCCAAGAAGAUGUCAUAGAGGUGCAGACCAAGCUAGCAAGGAGGUCGAAACGUGAUACACGGCCUGCCUACCUUGCCGUGGAUAUUAGCCCUGAGAUCAUUCUACUGUUCAAGGAAUAACACUCAAUGCUGCUGCUGCUGCUGACCUGGCUCCAUAAAGUUAUACUCCUCUAGGUGCUUGCACUAACUUUAUCUGAAGUAUUAUUCUCUCUGCACUGUAUAUAUGGUUAUGGAGUUUGCUGGAGUAUCCGGGGCGAAGAACCUACAUAAUACGUCUUGGAACUAAUUGACAUUGAUUCACAGACAAACUCUACAAGGUGCUGUUCUUGCCAUUUUAGAGCAUCCAAAGGACUAUAAAUAACAUAGUUUACCAUAUACCAUAUACCAUAUACCAUAAUAUGUUAGCUAAAAUAAGAGCAUACACAUGUUGCAGGAGUCCAAAAGCACCGGUUGAGGACCAGGUACAUUGAAUUACUAGAAAAAGACAGGGGACAAGGUUUAGGUAACCACAUGAAACAUUUGAAUUUAUUGUACUAUGAACACUUAGUUACCAUGCCAGGAGCACAUAGUUAACACUAACAUUUAGCCACUUUAGAUCAUCCCGAAUCACCAAUGACCCUCAAUAGUGACAAAUUUUGGUUUAAAUGCCAUCACCAAUGAUCCUCAAUAGUGACGUAUUUAGGUUUAAAUCCCGUCACUAAUAACCCUCAAUAGUGACCUGUUUUGGUUUAAAUCUCAUUACCACUGAUCCUCAAUAGUGAUGUGUUUUAGCAAAACAUGUUAUCAAUGACUUGUCAUUGGUGACGUGUUAAAACGCGUUAUCUCAAUGGCAAAUCAUUGGUGACGUGUUAUCUCAAUGUUAUCAAUGUUCUAUUCUUUUCAACAAUACCAGCUCGUUCCUCCGUUUUUAUUCCACCAAUACAAGCACCACCUUGUAACAUUUCCUAUGUUUUUUUUCCUUUUGUCUGUUUUCUCACUACAUGCGUUGCUCUUUCAUGCAUUUUUUUCCAUUCCUGUAUUCCAAAUAGGUCUACAUGAACACAAAAUGAACUAGGGGACAGAAAAAGCCAGUGAAGCCAAUUUUGAGCUUCACCAGCUACUUGCUACAUAAAGUGUGCUAUAGUGACGUGUUUUAGCAAAACAUGUUAUCAAUGACUUGUCAUUGGUGACGUGUUAAAACGCGUUAUCUCACUGGCAAAUCAUUGGUGACGUGUUUUAAAAAAACAUGUCACCGUGAGAGUCAUUGGUGAAGGGUAAUUAAAAUGCGUCACUAAUGUUGUAGCAUUAGUUAUGAUAAUUUAGUAACGCAAAAAUCUACCAUCAGUAUUGAGCUUUAGAGCCAUCGCUAAUGUGGGUUUCUUACAUAGUGAUGCAAGCUCUACAAGGUGCUGUUGCUGCCAUUUUAAAGCAUCCCAUGACUACAUGUUAAUAACAUAGUUUACCAUAUAUCAUAAAAAUAUUAGUUACAAUAAGCACAUACGCAUGUGGAAGAGUCCGAAUGCACCGGUUGAGGACUAAACACAUUGAAUUACUAGAACCAAAUGUAUGUUUAGAACAAAGACAGGGGUCAAGGUUUGGGUAACCGCAUUAAAAACAUUGGAUUUUACUGUACAUGAACACUUAGUUACCAUUACCAUGCCUUGAGCACCUAGUUACAACAAACAUUAAUUUAGCCACUUUAGAGCUUCCAGAAUCGCUAUAAAUAAUAUACCUACGCCGUACCAUGAAAACAUCAAGAAGAGAGACGGAUACAUGGACCACCAUCAAGCGAGUAGUGACAGCACGCACAAGAAUACCCGGAACCUGUUAGCUUGUCUGUAGUGAUCUGUUUUCUUCCCCAUAAAAUCCAUGAGUAUUGCCACAAAUAAUGAAAGAGGCUGACCAAGCUAGCAAGGAGGUAGAGCAAACGUGAUACACGGCCUGCCAAGAUUGCCCUGGAUACGCCAAUAAGAGCGACAGAUACAUGGAUCACACCAAUAUGGUGAAACGUAUAUUCAUCACACAAGCAAAGCUGGUCAGUUUAUCCAUGGUCAAAUUGUGGUCUUUGUUUUCACUUGAGAGCUAAUUGAGGCACUAUAAUAUGGGCAGGCCUAUCUUCAACAGACAUGACAGCUACAGGGAACUUGACAUAAUUUGCUGGGCCGCCUGUGCACAAUUAUUUGUUUUAUUGUCCUUGCAUAGAAUGCUAAAAUACUCUUUACAAAAUGUUGGAUCUAAUAUUUGAAAUAUAGAGUAGUAAUCAUAUAUUGAUCAACAACUUGAAAUUAUCUGUACAUUCUCGGUGAAGCUGUUGAACUAAUUUUUGCAAAUUAUUAAUUCAUCUCAUUACGUAAAGAAAAAAGUAAGUGGAUAAGAUAUUUCGUGGACCACAUCACUGCAAACAUGUCAUGGAGAGACAGACCAAGGAGGCAGGACGUGAUACACGACUUACCCUAGGUUGCCGUGGAACCGCCAAGAAGAGAUACAGAUACAUGGACCACACCAUCUUGGGAGUAGUGACAGCAUAUAUGCAGAAGAAUACCCCGUGCCUAUUUGCAUGCAUGUCUCAAGUGAUCUGUUUUCUUCAGAAAAUACAUGAGCAUUGCCAGAAAGAAUGGCAAGAGACAAACAUGUCAUAGAGACUUGCAUGUCUUGCCUUGGAUACGCCAAGAAGAGGGACACAUACAUGGAUAACACAAAUCUAGUGACACGUAUAUUCAUCACAAAGGCAAAUCUGAUAAUUUUAUCCAUGGAGCAGACCAAGGAGAAAUUGAUGACGGACAUGUGAUCUCUGUAUUCAGUUGAAAGCUAAUUGAGCUACACUAAUAUGAGCAGGACUAUAUUCAAGAGACUUGUUGAGAGCUACAGGGAACUUGUAAUAAUUUGCUGGGCGGCCUGCGCACAAUGAUUUGUUAUACAUAGUUGAAAUAUUUCAAGAAUUUAUCAACCUCAUACUCUGAAACCCUUGGUGCAAUGUACUCUGCUUUCCGAGGUAGACUGUUCACGUAAAAUGAGGUCAUGCGUAAGACGGAAUCGGAUUGGAUUCACAGGGAAUCAGAUUUGGAUAGCACCUUUUAGCAGGUUUUUAGUCAAAUGCAAAUUCGGAUCCACAUGUGGUUGAAUGCGAGUUCAAAAUUCUACUUGGAUAUCCAUUUAAUUUAGGUGAUAGCAAUUAGCACAAAAUGUUGGAUGAACAAAAUCAUAGUUAGACAUACAAUUACAUGUAUGGUUAAAGUAUAAUACAAUACACCAAGAUUAUUCCUUGAAAAUAUUUCUUAAAAAUAUUAUAAUAAAUGAAUAAAUAUAAUUGUGGCCACCAACAAAUAGUCGGUGGUCGCUAAGUUGGAGCCAUUUCUGGUUACUAAUGCGGCCUUCUCCUCGACCAGCGACGACAGCUGAGCUUGUUCCUUCUGACACUAAAUCAUCAGAGUCUUCCCUCCACUACUAUAGAAUGCACCUUUAGCACCAAUUGGGAAAUCCCCUUCAGUAUUGGAUGCUGCAACCAGUGCUAUAUAUCAAAAUGGAGACUAAAAGCCUCGGUCUUGGGUACCGGUUGCAUAACGCAUUACUAAAGGAGGCAAAAGAGAAAUGUAACAAAAAAAAUAUUUUGAAUUCCAAGAAUGUUUCACUAUUCAAGAUGACUAGCUGAGAGUCAACAGACAAGAUACUAGGAAUGUGGGUGCUUGAAUGCAUUUGUACAGAGGUCAUACUAUUUACAAACUCUUCUAUGUUUCCAUAUGACUACCUACUUCAAUGUCACGCGAGCCAUUCAGCUGGACACAUGGCACACUAGCUUGCAUGUCGAAUCCAUGAUUAAUUAUUUGCACUUGUGAUCUCUUACCAGUAUUUGUCCAGACUAGAAACGUGCAACACAUUUUUAGGAUAUGGACACGCAUAUAUUUGGACUAGUAUACAGGUCACCUUUGGAUGCGUACAAGGAUGACCGGGAGGGACUAAUGGAUACAAGGAAGGGACCAUCAGGAUUAAUAUUGACAUAUGCCACAUGACAAUCUUCAUUGUCAUGCAAUCCCUAUCAACAAUCAUGGAAUCCCUAGUGUACUAAUCCCUGGAGGGUUGUGUGGAAAUUUAUUUUACCUUGCGGUGAAAAUCUCAUGAGCAGUCAUUAGUUAAGCUGACUAGCUGAGAUAUAAUAGACAAGCUAGUAAGAUUGGGAGCAUCAAUGCAUCCAUACAGGGUCACAAUAUCCUUUCCAUUCACUUUUAUAUAUAACCCUACGAAUACAAGUCCAACGAAAUGCGGGCCUUUCGAUCAAGAUAAAUUAAAUGGCCCACUUGUAUUUCUAAUCCAGGAUUAACUAUGCCCUCUGUUCAUCUCUUGCAAGCACGUGCAACACAUUUUCACGAUAUGGACAUGCAUGGAGGUUAUUAUACUGUUUGGACAAACUCUGAUGUGCCAUGACCUAAAUGCUUAGGGCCUGUUUGGUUUGAGUUGCUUAUUAUAAGCAACUUAAAGUUGCUUAAAGUUGCUUAUUUGAAGUUGCUUAUUUUUAGUCUAAACUGUUUGGAUACCCUUGCUUAUGAGCAUUGAAUGAGUUGGACAUUGUCAAAUUUGCCCCAUGUGUUGCUACCCCUCCAAUUUGCCUCCCCACCCUUCUUCUUCCUGCACACGUCCGAUCCCGGGGGCCGACGGCGGGCAGGGAGCAGCAGCAGCUGGCCAGGGCGGCGGUGGGGCGGGAGCGGCGGCGCACACCAGCACGCGCUCGCACGCCAGGUGCUAGGGCGCGGCGAGGCAGUCGUCGUAGCCCACCGGGAGCGGGUGCUCGGGCGCGAGGCGGUACUCGACGGAGAUGCCGAGCGUCGGGCGCGCGGCGGCGAGCGCGUUGAGGAAGCGAUGGUAGUGCGGCGACGUCGCGGACUCCGCCACGAAGCCGCCGCCGUGGACGUACACCACCACGGGCAGCUUCGUCUUGCCGUCGGCGGCCGCGGCCGCGGCCUGGGGUGGCAGGUAGAGGCGGACGGAGCAGGAGCCGAGGUCGACGUCCCUGGAGUCGACGCCCGUGGCGGCGUCCAGGCUGGGCCCGACCGGCGGCGGCACGAGCGGGCGCUCGAUGCGGCCGCUCUUGUAAAUCCGACGGGUCUGUGCGGAGGCGGGCGGCGGGCGGGAGCGGCGGGUGGGAGCGGCGGCAGGUGGUGCGGAGGCCGGCGGCGGCGGGUGGCGCGGAGGAAGGGGAGCUGGUGAGUGGUGACAGGGGAGGGGGGGAGAGAGAGGGGGGGUAGGGUGCAUUGAAUGAGGGCAGGAGGUGUAAAGUGCACCUUUUAGUCCCCAUGAGCAACCAUAAGCAGCCCAAGAGUUGCUUAUUUGCUUAUAAUAAGCAACCUCAUAAGCAAGAGUGAUUGGUUUCAUAAGCAACUUAUUUGCUUAUUUUAAGUUGCUUAUGCAUAAGCAUGUGAAACCAAGCAGGUCCUUAACCUAUGGUUGUGGCACCACACAGUACAUAGUAUUUAAUAAUGCUAUUCGUUUGGUAUGUGCACAAGGGCACGCAUGAAAUGUCUGGCCCACGGUAAACAAGUACGGACGCUGCAAAUAAUCUACUCUGCUCGUCCAGUCCCUAGCCUAUAAAUAGAUGCCAUGCUAGCUCUUGUUGUGCUCACAAUUAAUCCUGACUACACACGAGCUUCUCUCCCUGGCCAAGACACAAUCAUAGUAUGAUGAAGAACAUGGCACUAGCCGGCAAUGGUAUGAAGAACUUAAUCCUCGCUGUUCUCUUACUGUGUCUAGUUAUAGGGCAGAUACAAGUGGAAGCUAAGAGCUGCUGCCCAUCCAUUACUGCAAGAAAUAUCUACAAUGCCUGCCGUAUCACGGGUACAUCCCGUCCAACGUGUGCAAAACUGUCAGGCUGCAAAAUUAUCAGCGGGGACAAAUGCAAGCCCCCUAACGACCACCUCACCCUUGACCCGGACACUGGUAAAUAAUAAAUUUAUCUCACUUGAUUUCUUCGUGUUUUGAGUCGUUAAUGUAUUUUCCAUCUGAUGAAACGUAUUGGUUUUGCAUUGAAGAGGAAGUUAAUGUGCUUAACUUCUGCAAGUUGGGGUGUGCGUCGUCUGUGUGCAACAACAUCAACGCUGGUAAGCACCUUUUGCUCAGACGGAGAAAACAAUAAUCAUUAAUUAGCGGCAGCUAGAAUCCUAUAAUCUAAUAUAUUUAUAUAUAUAUAUAAUUUUAUCAGCUCUGGGAAAUGAAGAGGCGAACGAUGCCGUUGAGAGUUGCGACCAAGCCUGCUCUAGCUUCUGCAACGUGCACGUUGGCGCUGCCACCGUGGUUGCUUAAGCAAAUGCAUCCAACUGGAUCGUCCUUGUGCUAAAUAAUUGGAUAUCGUAUCCACUUAAAGCUGCCUUGUGUAGUACGUUUUUGUUUGUGUCUCUCUUUAUAUUCCAAUAAGGUCGGUGAUCUUGAUGCCACACACUCAGACGUGUGUUCAUCUCCAGAUACUACUCCAUGCUACCUGCCCUUUGUGUUUUGUUCAAUAACUGGGUAUCAUAUCCCAGCCAGUGUGCCAUCUGUUUUGUGUUUAUUUCCUUCUAGUUUCAAAGGGGUUAUCAUGAUGUUACCUUCUUUCGAUAUGGUGCUUUGCAUGACUACUGUUGUAUGGUACCAUCUUGUUGGCCAAUAAAUACAUCUUAUCCUAUGACCCUUUGCUAUGACCCUUUGCAAAUAAGUACAAGAUUGUUAAAUACUCGGUAUAAAUUGACUACUGCUGUGAGUUCCCUUUCAGCUUAUCGUAGGCAUACAUUAUUGCUAGCACGGUGAAGACAACCAACACGAAUGGUCAAGUAAACGUACCGGUACUUUUGUAUACCAACACCCUUGCUUAAAUGUACCGGUGUUACUCCCCACUAGCACAUAUAUUCUUAUAUGCUAGCCGGCUUGAAAAUUAACCGAUUAAAAUAAUUAUUUCAAGACAGAAAUAACUUAUCGGCUUCUCGAAGCAUGUGUAAUGUGAAUUCAAGGACUUGAUGGAAGUUGAAUCGCUUAAUCUAGAUUGCUUUCAGGAUUUUGGGUAACUAAAUUUAACAUUUGCACAUACAAAUGUUAAUGUACAAAUAUUAAAUAUAGUUACCCAAGCAGAAUAUGAAGAUACUCUAUAGUAUAUAUAUACUAUAUAAAUCUAGUUAACAUUUAGUCUAAAUGUUAAAUCUAGUUACCUAAAAUCCUGAAAGCAAAAUGUAUAAAUAUAUAUCUUUUAAGGAAUCCCAAAGCAAGAGUUCAGUGGCAUUCUAUAGUCCCAUGCUGCUAGUUUGAGUUGGUCGAAGCCAACUUAAAUAGGAGAGCUCUCUCACUUCUCUAAAUACGUAACUGAAGGAGAGAAGGGGGCUUGGUUACACAACGCACGCACGCACGCAUAUUUGCGUUCUUUUCGCGUAACCAACCGCGUGACUUGAAACUUGCGACGUAGCGUGCUGCCAAGUCAAGUUGAUAUAACCUUUUUGCCGUAGGCGUGUAAUCUUUUGACAACGGUCAUUGGAGGUGAUAAGCACGCAGUCAAUACCUUAAUCCUGAG